CCACCUGAGCUUACAAUAAAAUGGAUUGUACUCUUUGAAAUACUUUUACAGUCUACUACUCGGUGGAAAGCAAGUUUCGCAGAUAAAGGCCAAUCUUGGUUCUUUCAUACUUUCCUCUACAUUGUCACGCUUCCACGGGAUCAAUUAAUCAACUCCUUACAUGUAAUUCAUUUUUAGGGUGAUAAGAAAAACUCAUUGUUUUACACAACUUUUCACUACUUCCUGAAUUUUUCGGAUCCAUAGCAUGUCUGCACUUAGACAACAUUCAUCUGACAAGAUAUGCACAUGUCAAUCGAAUACUCUAAUUCAUAAUCCGCUUCUCAAUUCUUAAUGCCGAGUAAUUUCCAUUGAAGGCACAUCUUUUGUCAAUAAAACAAGUUUACAGUGCCUAUCCGCGAGGAACCCUAGCGUAGGAAUGAAUCAACCACAAGUCUCAUAACAGAACUGCAGAGACUGGGAAGAAAGCUCCCUAAAACCAUCAAAAUUACAGUGCAACAAAGCCAAUCUUGUAUGGAAAGACCCACAAAAUAAAAUCACGGAAACGAGCAAAUAAAUUAUGCAAAGAAUAACAGUCAAACUUCAUCACGAAUUCUUUUUCAUAAAUGCGUCACUCUAUCGUCAGAGCAACGAAAACAAAGAAAUAAAGAAAAAAAAGUCGAUCCCUAAUGAGAAGAAGCAUGCCCUCGUACUAUACAAAGGUCGAAAAAAGGCAGGACCCGCCGCACUCACCCGGCGAUCGAAGAACCGAACGGCCCUUGGAUCCUACAGGCAGCAAGGUAAAACAAUCACGGGAAAAGAACAGGAAAAAUAAAAAACUUCACAGUCGGCCACGGCAGAAAAAAUAAGAUUUAAAUGGAAGACGACAGAAGGUGCAUACAUGAGGGAGGGUUUUAAAGAAGGAGAUGAAUCCCUGAGCCUGCCUCGCGUCUGCAACGUAACACAGCAUCCGUUGAAUCAAAGAUGAAGCACAAAACCAGUGCGAGGGUCGGUACCGCGCGGAGAGAAGUUACCUAGUUUGAGCUCCGGCAGCUUGGUCUGCUCCGCCAGGCCGUUUUCCUCCUCCAUUACGACGACUGCCACCGGUCGGGGCGGGGGAGCAAGCAAGCGCGCAGAGACCGGGAAGGGAGAGAAAUGGCGAACGAGAGAGACACCGACAGUCUCACUGAUGCAACCCGGGAAGCGCGCGGGCGCGCGCGAGAGAGAGAGAGAAAAUCUGCCUUGGGACGUGGGCGGUGUGGCGGGAAAAGCCCUCCCCUUCGAACCGGUCGGAACCAAGUUCCACCACUUGACUCGACCCGGGUCAGAAUCAAGCCAAAGCUCGUAACUAAAUCGUAAGGAAUUACUACACUACACAUGCCAUGAGCAUAGGGUACUACAAUCAUGAUUGAUUGAUCGUUAGAUUGAAGAUCACAAUCAUGAUCACGAUCUGGGUAGUCGAUCACUUGGGAGAUCGACGGCCUACAAUUGACCUAUUAAUUGGAUGAUAACUUUCCAUCAUCUAAUAGUUAGGAUUCAACAUCGACAAGACAUAUCAAAUCUCUUCUCACUCUCAACUCUCACUUUCACUCUGGACUCUCAAUCUCACCACCUCUCUCUCCUCUCACUCGUAAAGACCAACUUUGUUGUUCUUAGAGACUUUGCCGCCGCCAGCUUCACUAUCACCAUUAGUUUAAUUAUCAUCUCUCUCUCUCUCNNNNNNNNNNNNNNNNNNNNCUCUCUCUCUCUCUCUCUCUCUCUCUCUCUCUCUCUCUCUCUCUCUCUCUCUCUAUAAUGUUGCCUAAUUUUAAGACAAAUUUGGAGAUAGUGUUUUAAGAGUAUUUCAAUGUAGGCAGGAACUUUCUAUAAAAAUCUUAAAUGUAUCAAUUCUUGUUCUUUCUAUUUAGUUUAAUUAUUUAACGUUGAACAUUAUAUUAAAUGUGGUUGUCAAUAAAUAUUACAAAUCAAUAUGAUGACAUAAUCAUCUUUCGACAAUAGUGAACACAUUAUAGGUAAUAAGGUAUGUAUUCGUAAUAUAUUAAAUACUUUGUGGUGAACAUUUACUAAUGAUUACAAGACUUUUUUCUCAAAAAGUUUCUCAUUUAUACAAAAUUAAAUCAUCUUCGGCUUGCAAAAAAAAAUUGAAUGUGUUUUUUUAGAUGUUGGGUAGUAGAUGAUAUUAUUGUAAGAUUUUCAAUGAGAAUAACCCAAAUUACAAUCAAGUAAUAAAGAGGAAUGGCUAAGGCUACACUACCAAUUUUUUAGGCAUAUAGACAAAUAUUAUCAAUUAAUUCACAAAAAGUUGAAGAGAAAAUUUUCUAUUGGCACACAAUGAUUAAUCUUUGAUCACAUGAGACAUAAAUCAAGUAAGGUGUAACUAUUUAGAGGGUUUACAUUAUAAGCGUACAAAAAAUCUUUUGGUUAAAUUUAUUUAUAUCAGUAACCAACCAUAUAAUGUGGUUGACCAAAGGAUUUCAAGAGUUUCUUUAAUAUUAUACACAAGAUCAAUUGAAACUCUUGUUAAUAUACACAGGAUUUCAAGGAUUUCAAGAGUUUCUUUAAUAUUAUGAUAGCCCUCACAUUAUGUGUGUACUAUACCAUACUUCUUUUACUCUCUUCUCUCCUUUUUUCUACAAAAGUAUUUAUUUAGUAUUUUAUUUUCUUUUGGUUUGUCUUUUCAUUUAAUAUUUUGAUGAUGUGACCAAGCUUUAUUAGAAAUAACUAUUAAUAUUAUGUUAAAUUGAUAUAACUUAGGCCCACUAUUAUACUACCAUUACUUUAAACAAAUAUAUAUGUAACUUAAAAUUUGGUGUAAUAUAUAUAUAUGUAUAGAUAUAUAUUUCGUUGUAUCUUAGGAAGCUUAAAAGUUAAACUCAUUCAUAAACGAAGUCCAUUUAAUCUCACUAUAUAUAUCUUAAUAAAGUUAAGAAUUAUAAUUAGUAUAUACAUAUUUAUAUAUUACUAUCUUAAGAAGCUUAAUUUACAUAUAUGUUAAUAAAAGUUAAACUUUCAUUAAAGGUAAACUUUUAUUAAAGUUAAACUUUAAUAUACAUCUUAAUAAAGUUAAACUUUUGGCCUAAUAUAUAAAUAUAUAUUAUACUCAUGUAUAUAUAGUAGUAUAUUAUAUUUAUAUAUAAUAUUUAAGCUAAAUGACGAUCCACAAUUGACGACAAUCACGAUCAACAAUUUUGAGUGAUCAGGUCGACAAAUUGAUCAUCAUCGCAAUACCCAUAAUGAGCAGCCCAAGCCCGGCCCAUUCUUAAAAAAAAAAGAAAAAAACAGAACGAAUCUCCUCACUCGGUCUGACUCGGCCCGAGUCAGAACUGAGCUGGAGCUCGCAAGAAUCGGGGAGGGUUACUGUGGGCGGUCCCCACCCAAGCAUCAACGUUAUAAGGAGGAAUUACAACGCUGCACGCUCUAUGAGUAGCAGCAGUAGCGGAGCCUUUCUGCAGCCUCACAGCCAAAUCCUAUUUUUCCUCAUCUUCUCCUGAUGGAGAGGGGCCUCGGGUUCUGCAGACGAGAGCUGGACGCGGAGGGGGACGGCCUGACCGAGCCCGCCAACAACGCUGAUGCCGCCGCCGCCUGGAUCCGCCGCCGCUUGGCCUCCAGCUCCGGCCUCCUAUCGCCGCCGGGGGCGGAUUGAGGAGGCGCGCCGAAGAUCGACGAGGAUCGGAUCGCGGCCCGUCUGUCCUUGCGAUUCCUUUCAAACUUGGGCAGGAACUUCACUCUGGCGCAGGCCGAGGAGUCUUCCUCUGAUCCGGGGAGCAGCCGUAUUCCGAGCCCCAUCCUCGUCGAAGCAUCCUCCUCUUGGGCGACUCUCUUCUUCUGGACCUGCGCAUCAGGAGGAGGAGGAGGAGGAGAGAGAUUAGCUACUGCUACUUUGAGAAGUUGGGGGUGCUCUUUCUACAUACCCUGAGAUGAGUCCUGAGGGCUCUGUUGAGGGUGUAGUCGUCCGCAUGCCGGCUGUCGGACAUUCUCUGAAGGCGGACCAGGACGGGUUCAGCCUCCUUCUUCUUCUGCAGGUCUUCUUCCUGAUGCUCAAGACGGUAGAACGGAUCCGAAAGCUUGCCCUUGUCUGCAACGCAGAGGUGACCUCCGUUUUAGAAGAAAAAUGUGAGAGAAAUAAUGGCUCUCAACCUCUGGCUAGACGCGAGCUGGGCAGUGCAGGUGAUGAGUCCGACAUAGAGAACUAGAACCUGAACUUGAACCUGAUAGGAGUACCUUCAUCUGCGGGUAGGGCCAGCGUUUCAGCAUCCUCAACGUCAAAGUCCUCUGUUUUGCGCUGAGCGCCGCUGAUUAUCACGUAUUCGCAGUUCUUCGGAUCUGUCUGGAUGACGAUUUCGUGUUUGCAGCACGCAGAUUUCAUGGUGAAGCUCCAUAUCUGACAGAUGGAAAAAAAAAUCAAAGCAACUAUCAGCCCCAAACAUGCAUGCACAUCAGUAAAUUCUUCACGAAAAGAAACAGGUUUCAGAAGAAGAUCCGUGUGCUAUUUGUUUAACCAGUCGAUGAUGCAACAGAUGGAACUAGGGGCGGCGGGCUUCUAUUUUAUUUUAUCCUCAUACUGUGGAAGCUCCGGUUAUGUCCCGGUUGAGAUUACCCAUCUUUCGAUCUAUCCCUAGUCCAUACGACUACUCGACAUGUGUAAAGAGGAGAUCACAGAUGUGGCUAAUCUCUAAAUUAAAUUUAUAUAUAUGACCAGUAAAUAUAUAUCCUCAGAAAAACUGCAUAAGACAUUUAUUUUUCCUGCAAUCUAUCUUAAACAUUGCAAUAUUAAAAAUAAGUAAAAAUGGAUGCUUUAAAUGAAGAUAGAAGCGUACUUUUGUAGAAUAGUAAUUUCCCACUUGCUUUUUCUCAGCAUUGAACCUGACACCCUUGCCAAUCAUCGAGUUGCAUCCACCACACCAGAUGUUGAAAGGCAUCUCGAAUCUGCAAAAGUGGAUCAGCCGAUUAAGAUACCAUCAGUUCCAUGUAGACUUCCUCCAGAUGUAUCUAGUUGUCUGUCUCUUUUUAGCACGAUUCUGAAUGUCGAUGAAUGCAUUUUGUACAUUAUAUAAAGAGCAAUAAUUUUCCAAGUGAAGAAAAAACCGUAUUUAAUUUAUUAAUUUAUGAAUUUAUACGAAAACAAAAACUAAACGUAUACCUUGAGAUUCAUAAUUGACAUCAAAAAGAGGAAAACACUCAAGCAUAGAAUAUUAGGACACUCCUACGGGAAGAGUGAUUGAACUGUGCAGUGGGAAAAUGAAAGAAAUAGAAAAGAAAGAAAAAUCUGAGAACGACAGAAAAGGAUCUACUGAGAUCCCAUAUAGUGAGCCUUUCUGAUGCACUAAGAAACCAGACAGCCAAACAGCAAGCCCUUGUGGAAAUGAAAGUGAAGCACCCAAACCCCAAAUAUUAGGAUGAGAAACGGUUCGGUCGUGGGAUCACAACAAAUAACCUUCGUUCUAACAUAUGUAAUGCUUUGAAAGUAUACUAUAAUCACUAAACAUACACUCAACGUAUCUGCAUGAACGAUCUUCUUUUCAUGGAAUGCCCCCAACUUUGAAGGAAUGAAACAAGUUUUAACAUGAAUUUGCCCACACCACCCGAUAAAAGGUCUCUUGCCUAUUUAUACUGCCAUUUUUCCGGGAAAAAAACGAAAAAACUCUUAAAACGCAACUAUCAACAGUGGAUGUUUAACACGAAAAAGACUCAAGGCAGAAAGAAACAACAAUAAUUUUUUACAUAACAGAUAAAAUUAGGAAUUCUAUGUUGUCCAACUGAAAAUAUUUUCGAGCAUAACUAUGCACUGUUAACUUCUGAAUUAUGGGCCACGUCUGGACAGUUUCUCAUAGGUAACUGUUAGGUUCGUAUGCAGUAUAAUCUCUCAUGAAAUAAUCUUCUGAGCAUGAAAAAAAAAAAAAAUGAAAGAGGAAAGCGAUGCAAAGAGACAGGUGAGGAAGGGAACAGAAAGAAGAGGAAAGCGGGAUAAUAAAAGCUUUUCUUCUCUUAUUUUUUUCUAACGGAGGUGAAUUACAAGCUUGCAACCCAUCAUAGUAAAAGGAAAUCAAAAUUUCCAAGGAUCAAAACCACUAAACAAAAAAUGGCCAUAGUCAGCUAUGGGAUAAUGGACAAUGAUCAGCUUAAGCAUGCUGGCUCAACAAUACGUGUGAGUAGGUCCAUCUAUUUUCAGAGACUAACAGACUGCAGUAUUGUAGGAAUAACACAUCCAGGUAAAGGGCAUCCAGCGAAGUUCAGCACCAUAGCAUGGUUAGCAUCUAAAUUUGAGGUGCACAAAACAUAGGUCAAUGGAUUUAGGCUAUUUUCUCAAGAAAAAAAUCUUCUCAACGCAUCAAUACACCAACAUAACAUAAUAACAUUAGGAUAUACGACGACCUCCCUAAAACAGCUGCCUGAAAAUGAAGCUAAAUCACAUUCGUGGGAAUGAUCCGUCACUUCAGUAUGAAUUUUAUAGUAUAAAUAAGCACUUAUUGUUCUGAAAAUAAAAUCAGAGAAAUGUUCCGAAACAAACAAAAUUAUAAAUCAUGAGGCCAUCGACCCUACUGUUAAAACGGGAACAAACCAUUCUCUGCAGGUUCCUAAUUCAAUUGAAUUCCGGGUGAUCAUUUCAAGCAUGGAAAGGGAAAGGAAAAAAUGAAUCGAUAACAUGAUAUAAAUAUCUUAAGCACAGAAAAAAAAACGAUUAGGGCGAACUCUAAAAAUUCAAGAGAUAUUAAGGAAACGGAUGUUAUUACCUUAUAAUCAGAAUACCCUGAUCCAGCUUCCUCGCUCUUUCCCGUAAGGCAUGCUGCCCAUGGAACUUGUUCAAGGAGCCCUAGAACAAUUAAAAUAGGAUGCUUAAUCAAUCAGCGUCGACAUCCGACAAGAAAUUUCCUAAUAAAGAAAGUAAAUCCCCCUCCACAUGAAAACAUUGCUAUGCAGCUCGCACAACAGAAAUCGAAUUGGGCUGUGUGCCUCACCUUUUUGGGGCUCCAUUCCGGUGGGUAGUAGAAAUUGUCUGCUCUGGCGGCAGCAAGCGAAGACUGAGAUCGGCAGACAAAAUUUUAGCACUCAAUCAGAGAAAGGGUAUCGGAUCGCGUUGGACGCGCACUGAAUAGAAAGGAAAUCACCCAGAACGCAUACCAUUGCUUUAGCUGGCUUGACAAAUCACGAAAGCCGAUGAUCCAAGAAGCAGCCGACGGAGAGAGGAUAGAGAAGCCUGCAAAUGCGCGGCGACGGGAUUCUUGAGACGGCGAUCCCCUCGGAUUCCCGCUGUAUAACAAAGCGUGGCAGAGAGGAAGUUGACACCCCGCGACGGAGAGGAGAAACAAAGGGGAAGAGGACGUCUCUAGAAAACCCCUGUGCCCUUUAUAUAAAGAUUAGACAGUUUAGCCGAAAAAUUACGAUAUUGCCACGUCCCCGGUCCACGCCGUUCCAACCGAGUCGGGAUGACGUCAUCUUAUCGGAUCCUUUCAACCCUGUGUUGGUUCGGGCCUUUCACUUGUCGCGCCACUUAAUGGAUCAUCCCGGCCCAUUAAUUAAAGUAGCUUGGUUUUGUAUCUGUUUUAUGCGCUCAUAUAAAAAUAAAAAUAAAAUAAAAAUUUUCUGUGGUCAUUCGUGCUCACCUGGUUUGCGGGUUGCAUGGGGGGGGGAGGGACCAUCUGUAACAGUCUCAUGGUGCACAAUCNNNNNNNNNNNNNNNNNNNNNNNNNNNNNNNNNNNNNNNNNNNNNNNNNNNNNNNNNNNNNNNNNNNNNNNNNNNNNNNNNNNNNNNNNNNNNNNNNNNNNNNNNNNNNNNNNNNNNNNNNNNNNNNNNNNNNNNNNNNNNNNNNNNNNNNNNNNNNNNNNNNNNNNNNNNNNNNNNNNNNNNNNNNNNNNNNNNNNNNNNNNNNNNNNNNNNNNNNNNNNNNNNNNNNNNNNNNNNNNNNNNNNNNNNNNNNNNNNNNNNNNNNNNNNNNNNNNNNNNNNNNNNNNNNNNNNNNNNNNNNNNNNNNNNNNNNNNNNNNNNNNNNNNNNNNNNNNNNNNNNNNNNNNNNNNNNNNNNNNNNNNNNNNNNNNNNNNNNNNNNNNNNNNNNNNNNNNNNNNNNNNNNNNNNNNNNNNNNNNNNNNNNNNNNNNNNNNNNNNNNNNNNNNNNNNNNNNNNNNNNNNNNNNNNNNNNNNNNNNNNNNNNNNNNNNNNNNNNNNNNNNNNNNNNNNNNNNNNNNNNNNNNNNNNNNNNNNNNNNNNNNNNNNNNNNNNNNNNNNNNNNNNNNNNNNNNNNNNNNNNNNNNNNNNNNNNNNNNNNNNNNNNNNNNNNNNNNNNNNNNNNNNNNNNNNNNNNNNNNNNNNNNNNNNNNNNNNNNNNNNNNNNNNNNNNNNNNNNNNNNNNNNNNNNNNNNNNNNNNNNNNNNNNNNNNNNNNNNNNNNNNNNNNNNNNNNNNNNNNNNNNNNNNNNNNNNNNNNNNNNNNNNNNNNNNNNNNNNNNNNNNNNNNNNNNNNNNNNNNNNNNNNNNNNNNNNNNNNNNNNNNNNNNNNNNNNNNNNNNNNNNNNNNNNNNNNNNNNNNNNNNNNNNNNNNNNNNNNNNNNNNNNNNNNNNNNNNNNNNNNNNNNNNNNNNNNNNNNNNNNNNNNNNNNNNNNNNNNNNNNNNNNNNNNNNNNNNNNNNNNNNNNNNNNNNNNNNNNNNNNNNNNNNNNNNNNNNNNNNNNNNNNNNNNNNNNNNNNNNNNNNNNNNNNNNNNNNNNNNNNNNNNNNNNNNNNNNNNNNNNNNNNNNNNNNNNNNNNNNNNNNNNNNNNNNNNNNNNNNNNNNNNNNNNNNNNNNNNNNNNNNNNNNNNNNNNNNNNNNNNNNNNNNNNNNNNNNNNNNNNNNNNNNNNNNNNNNNNNNNNNNNNNNNNNNNNNNNNNNNNNNNNNNNNNNNNNNNNNNNNNNNNNNNNNNNNNNNNNNNNNNNNNNNNNNNNNNNNNNNNNNNNNNNNNNNNNNNNNNNNNNNNNNNNNNNNNNNNNNNNNNNNNNNNNNNNNNNNNNNNNNNNNNNNNNNNNNNNNNNNNNNNNNNNNNNNNNNNNNNNNNNNNNNNNNNNNNNNNNNNNNNNNNNNNNNNNNNNNNNNNNNNNNNNNNNNNNNNNNNNNNNNNNNNNNNNNNNNNNNNNNNNNNNNNNNNNNNNNNNNNNNNNNNNNNNNNNNNNNNNNNNNNNNNNNNNNNNNNNNNNNNNNNNNNNNNNNNNNNNNNNNNNNNNNNNNNNNNNNNNNNNNNNNNNNNNNNNNNNNNNNNNNNNNNNNNNNNNNNNNNNNNNNNNNNNNNNNNNNNNNNNNNNNNNNNNNNNNNNNNNNNNNNNNNNNNNNNNNNNNNNNNNNNNNNNNNNNNNNNNNNNNNNNNNNNNNNNNNNNNNNNNNNNNNNNNNNNNNNNNNNNNNNNNNNNNNNNNNNNNNNNNNNNNNNNNNNNNNNNNNNNNNNNNNNNNNNNNNNNNNNNNNNNNNNNNNNNNNNNNNNNNNNNNNNNNNNNNNNNNNNNNNNNNNNNNNNNNNNNNNNNNNNNNNNNNNNNNNNNNNNNNNNNNNNNNNNNNNNNNNNNNNNNNNNNNNNNNNNNNNNNNNNNNNNNNNNNNNNNNNNNNNNNNNNNNNNNNNNNNNNNNNNNNNNNNNNNNNNNNNNNNNNNNNNNNNNNNNNNNNNNNNNNNNNNNNNNNNNNNNNNNNNNNNNNNNNNNNNNNNNNNNNNNNNNNNNNNNNNNNNNNNNNNNNNNNNNNNNNNNNNNNNNNNNNNNNNNNNNNNNNNNNNNNNNNNNNNNNNNNNNNNNNNNNNNNNNNNNNNNNNNNNNNNNNNNNNNNNNNNNNNNNNNNNNNNNNNNNNNNNNNNNNNNNNNNNNNNNNNNNNNNNNNNNNNNNNNNNNNNNNNNNNNNNNNNNNNNNNNNNNNNNNNNNNNNNNNNNNNNNNNNNNNNNNNNNNNNNNNNNNNNNNNNNNNNNNNNNNNNNNNNNNNNNNNNNNNNNNNNNNNNNNNNNNNNNNNNNNNNNNNNNNNNNNNNNNNNNNNNNNNNNNNNNNNNNNNNNNNNNNNNNNNNNNNNNNNNNNNNNNNNNNNNNNNNNNNNNNNNNNNNNNNNNNNNNNNNNNNNNNNNNNNNNNNNNNNNNNNNNNNNNNNNNNNNNNNNNNNNNNNNNNNNNNNNNNNNNNNNNNNNNNNNNNNNNNNNNNNNNNNNNNNNNNNNNNNNNNNNNNNNNNNNNNNNNNNNNNNNNNNNNNNNNNNNNNNNNNNNNNNNNNNNNNNNNNNNNNNNNNNNNNNNNNNNNNNNNNNNNNNNNNNNNNNNNNNNNNNNNNNNNNNNNNNNNNNNNNNNNNNNNNNNNNNNNNNNNNNNNNNNNNNNNNNNNNNNNNNNNNNNNNNNNNNNNNNNNNNNNNNNNNNNNNNNNNNNNNNNNNNNNGAGAGAGAGAGAGGCAACAUGUCAAGGGCCGGAGUCAUCUUCCUCGUGCUCUGCAUGAUAGCUGUUGCAGCAGCAGGUAAGAUGCACCACGUUCCAUGAAGUUCUUCGGGUCUUUUGUAUUACUUCCUCCGCUAUCGCCAGCCAUCUCACGAGAGUCCAUCUUGCUAUCUGCCAGAUCCCACCCUGCUCUGCUGCAAAUCCAACCCGGUAAACUUCAGGUGCAUAACCAAGGAAGAUAACGUCACAUGCGACAAGCAAUGUAAGCCACAGUGCUGGAAGGGAGGAUUCUGCAAACGUGAACAGCGAGGCCAGCACAUGUGCCAUUGCUACUGUUAGUAGCGUAGAAGCGCGGCCGAGAGCUAUAAGAGAGGAGUGAGGGCGUCCUUAGAAGUAGCCUUAGUAUCAUGGGAUAGAGAGCGGGGUUCGAUGUCAUUUCUAUGAGCUGCUCUCUCUUUUGUGUGGAGGAAAUAAAACGGCCGUCAUUCACUCUUGAACUGUUGUUAUCUGGCUUGCGCUUUCUCAUUCUUGAGAUGGAAUAAUAAUAAAAACUUGGCGUAUGCCAUGAAGACCUACAGACGAAUAAACAAUAAACACCGGCCCCUAACCAGUUCUUCCUGAGCUUUGCUCCCAUAAACAUUAUGAGGGUCACUCUGAUUUUUUUUUUCUUUGAAAAUGAAUACCCAAGCCUGUUUUUCGUCGUGGCAAAAUGACAGGCAGCUAUAGUUAUCAGGAAGAGGGAAAUCGACUAGGAAAGGUAGAGAGGAGCGUUCUUCCGCAUCAACAUCUACGAUGAAUAACGUAUGGAUGGGGUGAUAACGGGUCUCUGUAGCAUCACGAGAUCGGAACGAAAAAUAGAAGGGUUUGCGCAUACUUAGAAAAUAAUCUGCAAUUACUUUUUCUGCCGGUUGCUUGCCAAAGUCUCCACGGACCCAUUCCAGCUCAAAUUAGGGAGUUUUCAUCAAAACUUUUUUUCAGCCAAAUCAUGUGGUAAUUAAUCUAGAUGCGAUUACAUACAUAAACAUUAUUCCAGACGGGAAUGGAUUGAUAGAGUGAUGGAAAUAUCCAUCACCAACGUGAUGUCAAUCUGCAUGCGCAAAGAGCAUGCUGCCUAGCUUCCACGUUUCCAAGUUCUAAGGGAAGAAUCGUUCAAACUAGAAUCGUAUUAAUUUCUGAAAUAAGUGAUCAAAUUAUAUAGAAAAAUGAAGAAAAAAUCAAGAUAAUAAAUUCCAUGUAGGUUGUAUGUCACCGAUUCAACAUAUGUGGUUCAUAGGAGUUGCACUUGAAAUGUGUGACAUGAUUAUAUUCAUGAGAAGUAAUUGACUUCUCCAAUUUAUUUUGGUGGUUAUUAUAUUAUGGAGAACAAAUCUCAUAUAUAUCAUGUGGAAUCAUUAGCAGACAUGCAAAAAAAAUCAAGAUAAAAAUCACAUUCUCUAGAUCUAACGAAUGAUGGAAAAUGCUUCAAUUGCUGUAUCAUGGAGAAAUAGUCAACCUCUCAUAAUAUUAGUUAUCGUCUGGCAAAUGAUGGUAAUGAAUGCUAUUAUACCAUCAUCAUCAAUCAAUACCUCUUUAACCUGGCCUUGGAAGUAGUCAACGCAUCCAAUUAGAAAAGGAUGACUCUAAUAUCUCUCUAACAUCAGUGCUAGGCCAGGAUACACAUGAGGUAUGUGUCUGCAUAAAGAUUGUGUGACACGGUGAAAAAUCUUGACACAUUAGUGAAUGAGAAAGCUCAAGUGAACAUAAACUAAGGCAUCUAGGUGAUUCACUUGAGUUAAAUAUGAUGACUUUCUGAAGAUUUUACCGCGAAAAAUAUCAAGAGAGUCAUUCGUCAAGAAAGAUAAGCUUACUAGAGAGCAUGAAGAUUUUUCUCCUUUCUGGCCUUCUCGGAUGGGGAUCAUGUUACCAGUCUCCUUGACAAAAAUAUAAUUCUUUUAUUCAUUAUUCUUCAUCUAUAUAAUAAUGAUAGAUCAUAUAAUUAUUGAUACAUCUGUUGCAUAACAAAAAAAAGCCAAUCCAGCUGUAGUAAAAAUAAGAGCAUAGUUCAGCUCACCAAAGGCCCAAUUUUGGAUAAUUUUAGGCAGACGGUGGGAAAAGAAGGAAGAUUCAAGUAUAAAAGAUAUGGUCACUAUAUGCCAUCACGAGGAUAUUACGUUCUAAAAUUGGUAUAUUUAUAAAUAUUUUUUGGAUGGCCCUGAUGCAUUUUUUAGUUUAUAAUACUUUUAAAUGGUUGGUUUCAGAUUUUCUUGGACCUCAUGAAGGACGAAGAAUGAUUCAUCGAAGUAUAUGUAGUAGAUUGUAAGAGGGUGCAAAAUAUAUUUUAGACGUUCUAGGGUUAGGUGUGUACCUUAUCGUUGGUACAGGCGCCUAUUUGGACUUAUCUUCCGCUUGUCUCACUUCCUGGAUACAUAGACAGAAAUCCAAGGACAUAGGAGGGGAGAGAGAGAGAGAGAGAGAGAGAGAGGAGAGUCCGGAGAGGUGGGUCCGCAUACAAUCAUCUACCACCUCAUAAGCUUUGUGUCUCCGUUUUGUCGACGGACGACAUCGGCAAGGCGGCGAGGACAUGCUGCGGGCGGCGACGACAGGAGCUUCAGCUGCGGCACUGGAGCGCAGGCAUACGACCUGCCUGUCACCUGCUACCUUCGCCGUCGACUCUAUCCUCGCGUUCGUCGACGGGUCCAUCGCCAUUGUCGCCUUCUCCCAGGUGGUUACUCCCCCUAAUCGGCCCUAUUAUUGUGAUCGCUGAAUGGGCUGCUGAAUUUUGGCGCCGAGUAAAUCUUCUGGCGCAUGCUCUUUCGGAUCUGAUCGAAUGCAUCACAUGUGAUUUCACUUUUCGUGCUACUAUUUCAUUGACCAUCGUGACGAUGACGAUAUUUCUUGAGGAUACUCCUUUGUUGGUGGCUGUAUCCGAAAAAUUCGUCCUAAUGUAGAUGCAUCUUCUCAUGAAUCAAAUUCUGAUUUCUGUGUAAUUUCGGCAAACCUCUCCGACGAGCUUUCUUUGUGGGAGUAAUGUGGACAAUCCGACGGUCUAAUAGCACAACAUAUACGUAGGGGUGUUUAUGGCAUGGUCUUGUUUUCCUUAAUCUCUUCAAACUGUCUUGGUGAUGGGAAAAUCAGGAUUUGUUGCGAACUUCUGGUUAUAUUUGUUUCAUGUGUAGUAAUGGAUUCGGUGGCUUAAAGUGCAUUGCAAGUUCUCAGCUCAGAAAUAUCCACAGCAGAUUUCCCAAGCCACCAGAGGGUUGCAUUCUAUUUAAACUUAUGAACAGCGAAAUCAUGAGCAGAAUCGUUCUAUAUCUUCUUCUGGUUUCGAUUAUGCCUGGCAAAUGGUUCUCGAUUGUUUCUUUCUUCCAUUUAGGUGGACAAUGUGAAAAUUUUCGGUUGUGAACCUCAACCAAAUUUCAUUAAAUACCUUUCCGUUGCAAACAGAAAAAAAGAGGGUACCUUAGCGUGUAGAAUGGAUGACUAUUAAAAGGCUGUACCGUGGGAAAGAAGCAAGGUUCUUUAUUCAUCAGUUUUAAAUCUUUCAGACAGCAAUGCUAGUUGUAAUUGAGAAGAAUGCGAUGGACAUUUUAAUCUCAGGAUGGAUGAAUCAUUCGUUUUCUGUAAAAUCUAGAUUUUGGGAUUUCAAAUUUGUUAUGAUUGAAAUGAAUCUUUGACAGGUAUUUUCAAAUAAAAAAGGAAUUUACUUGGACGUGUUAGCUGGUGUUUAUUCAUUACCUGGAAAAUGCACAGACUGACUUGUUAAUCAUAAUGGUCUCUCUUUAGAAACCCUCCUUGAUCUCAUGGUGCGAUGUUGGCCUAUAAUCACUUAGUUUAUAAGUCUUGGUAAAAGGGAUGAGGUUAAUGUAUUUUGAUUCACUUAAUUUUCUUUGAUGCUCUUGUGGAAAAUUAUGGAUAUGGUAGCACAAAUUGGAUGGUGGAGAUUUGUAUACUUCAUUUCAAAUAUUCAUGCCCAUUUUAUGCCACAUGUAGUUACUAGUGAAAGUAGUUGUUAUGUUUAUAGGAAUUACUCGUUCGCACAUUACUUUAAAAUUGUGCCACUAGCACUAUUGGCGUUUCAUUGGAUGAAAAAAAUACCUACAUUAUUAUGUACAUAAAAUUUCAUAGGACUACUUUCACUUGUGUCUACUUUAUUUAAUCUCAUUUCUAGAUAGUUCUAUGUUUUUUUUUAUCAUCCCCUGUUUCUAUUUCAGAAUAGGGUAAAUCGUUGCUUGCAUCUUGGGAUUCUUAUAUUUUAGAUGUACUGAGAACAUUGUUUAAUUUCUUUUUUUCAUAUUCAUUUCAGUUAUUGAGAAUACAUUUAUGCAAUCGACAACUUGGCUGGACUCGCCAAAAGGUAAGGAUGAUAGUAUGUUGAAUAUGUCAUAUUUAAAUGGGAGAAUAGUACUGUUGGAUAAUUUACUUGCUAGUAUUUGGUUUUUUGACAAUUUCUAUUAUAAUGUUACAGUCAGCAGACGUUUAUAUCUACAGACAAAAUCGGAUUACCAUCAGCAACCUUGGUGUCUAAAAUAGUAUACCAUAAUUAUUUGAUAGUGGAAAAUCAUAGUGCUCAGAUAAUAUUGCGAUAUACAUGUGUAAACUUCUACACGGACAUGCAUAUAUCUAUAUACAUAACUAUAUAGAUAUUCCGUUCUAAUUCCAAAUCGGAUAUCCCAUGCGGAUAUAUGAGUGACUGUGAUGCAGAGAUCACUGAGAAAUAUUUUAUUUAUACUGAGUGUUUCAUGAUUGAUUGAUAUUUGAAACGAGAGAAGCAUAGGGGCUUAAUACCGAGGUUCUAUUUGACGAUGAACUUCAUUAUAAUUAUGAAAAGUGCAUCAAAUGAACACUUGGAUCAGGUCAACUUUUUAUGUGAUGAACUCCAUGGAUUUGAUGGAGAAAAAGCCAUAUUUGCUGGAAAAUAGGGAAAACUAUGCGUCUAUCAACUCUGGACAACAUGGGAUGCACCAAUCCUCUUGCUUGUCGAUCUUCCACUAUUAUGUAUAGCACAGUGGCAUUUAAAAAUGAUUUUUUAUGAUGAACACAGGUGAUCAACUGAGAUAUGGCUCACCGUACUUAUCAAACGGGAAAAGAGAAAAUGAGAUUGAAGAUUUUAAUUAUGACAUACUUUCAUAGUGAGAGUGAUGUAACCAUUGGACUAAUUUUGAAGUGUUAUUUCCAUCUAUUAUGCAUGUGAAAGUUGUGAAAAUUAACAUAGCAAACAUCCGGUAGGAGUCAUAAAACAUCAUGUUGUUUGGAUGGCCAGUGACAUUACCGAGGCAGUGAUCCUUGAAAAUAUGUGGAAGAAGUCAUAUAGAUUUCAAAAAACACAUAAUACUCCUAUCAGCUAUAGCUCAAAUCAGUUAUUAGGAUGUCAGCUACUCUUGUUGCUGAAAAUUAUAUUGGUCGGUAUUAAAGAAUGUUAAGCUUGUGGAAUGCAAUCAAUAAGGUUUUUGAGAUAGGUGCUAAUGAAGCCCACGUGGUGUUGUGGUAUACUGUUGAAAGGCAUUGAAGCAAAAUGGAAUUUGAAACAUUUCUGUCUUUUGUUAAAGAAGACGGAGGGAUGGAUCUCUCUUGAAGUAGUGAAGGUUUGUAUGUGAGCUUAACUUUUUGCACUUAAAACCAAAAUAGAAGCUCCUCCAUUAAUUAAUUAUUGAAUAAUACGGCUGUUAAACCUUGAAAUAUUUUUCAUUUAUUAAGAGGUUUUUAUUCGAAUGCAAAACCCCUUUUGUGGCUUAGUGUUCUGUAUUUUGUAAUCGUUGCUCUUUUCCAAAAGUAUAUGCAUUUAUACUUGAUUUUGGACUUAACCAGAUGAAGAAUAUUCAGGAUCGGUUUACCAGACUGAAUUGGGAAAUAUUUAGUUUAUACAUUUCUUGCAUCUGAACUUCACAAUAAACUUUUUUAGGAUAGUAUGUUCUUUAACCAACAUCAUAUUUUCCUGACUGCAGAUAUUUCAUCUGAUGAUUGGCUCAUCCAACAUAGGUAUGGUUCUUUUUUGAUGGAAUAUAUAGAUCCUGGUUUUUUAACUUUAACCUGGAGUUGACUAAUUCCUUUUUUUCAUAUUUUUGUUCGUGUAUUAAGUUAAACAUACCGUGCCAACAUAGAAAGGAAAUAAUAAUAUGAUGAAGCAAUUUUUUAGUAUCACUUGUUAAUUGCAUUGAAAUUACAAAAAUAUGUUAUUGAGACCCUUCUGUAUUGAACAAUUUCUCGAUGAAAAGAGCUUUCAAGCAUGCUAAUGAAUGACAUUUUUGCCUCGUUGAAUAAACUGCUUUCUAUCUUUUGUUCGUUUACUAAAAUUUUCUCAAUGAAUCAGAUUAUCUCAAUGAUACUUGUUAUGAUUGGCCCUAAUAGAAAAUGAAUUGCUUGUAUUUCACCUCUUGGCUGAUAGGUGCUCUCUUCUUACAUGUGCUACAUGUAUAUUGGCCAAUUCUUUAUCCCAUAAAUCUUUUUGCCUCUGUUUAUUUUGCCUUCACUGGAUUGUGCGGCAUAUUAGAUUAUCUGUGAGGGUAAAUCAUGAAAGAUCAUAGAUAAGGUUUAAUGCCAAGGAUUGAGGAGGGUUGAGGAAUGGACCUGAGACAUAAUGAUAAUCAAAUAUUGGCUUUAUAGGGUGAUGAUUAUGAACACUACUCUAAAGUUGAUGGGUAGGGCUGCUUGUUUACCAACUGCAUGAAAGGUAUACUUUAUGAAUAUCCUAUGGAAUUGCUUAGUAUUGGUAUUUUUUUGUAGACAGGACACAUGCAGGGUCAGAAAAUGUAGGACACCAAUAUUCUGAUGGCAAAACUGUGCAGUCCUAAAUACAGAAAGGAAUACAUAUUUGCUAUUUGAGAAGUGAAGUUAUAGAAAAUAGCAGCAUUACAUUUUGGUUGCGAGAUGGCCUCUUAUUAGCAUGCACUCUUUUGUGUAUUGAACCUUGAGUCUAAUGAUGUUGAGUGGGCUGCCCAUUACCAAGUUCAUGUUGAGAUUUAUUUACUUUUGAAUGUCGGACCAAUUUUACCUAUAUUUCUCGUUUAUUUUGUGCUGCUAUCAUUUGAAUGAAAAAGAAAUCUUAUAGAAAAGCACGCUCUUCUUGUUGUUCUACAAACUUUGUUUGGAGACUGGUAAUUAACUUAUACGGAGGCAAUGUUGAACAAAUAGGUUCUGCUGCUUUAAAAAUAUCUUUUGUAUUCAAUGAGAUAAUGAUGACGAGAAGUAAGAGAUUCAUGGGAGUUCCCAGAGUGAGGACCUUCUGCGUCACUAUCAUCAAAUUGCAGGUUUAGACGUUUCUAUAAGGAAACUCAUUGCGUUAAAAAUAUUUUGAUCGUGGAGAAAGGACAGAGAAACUGGAAGUAUUCAAAUAAUUGGAGGUAAUAGUUCAGUCAGCAGAUGUGACACAGUUAUUUUCAGUAUGUGUCUCAGCGUGAUUAACUGGACAAUAAUCCUUGGGUUACAAAAGUCGAUAUCUUUUGGUGGCUUUGUUUUGAUGACGUGUUGCCGAAACAUAAACAGUCUGAGACAUUGUGAGAUGAAGUCAGACCAACGUGAACUUUCAGCUCUGAAUUAUAAUAUUCUAAUAGUGAAUAAAUAUAGAUCUAGAAUAAAAGUUAAAUUCAUUAAGGCUAUGAACCGGGGCUUCUGGUGGUCACCUGUUGCUUUAGAUUUUCAGGGAUGACAAAAUGAAAAGAUCAUGGAGACCAUCUUUGGCUGUACAUAAUGAAAAAUGCAAAGAAUGAAACCUGUAACAGAGCAAACCCUUUGUAAGAGGUUUUUCUAUCGCUGAAAUGGGUAGCUUCUUCAGUUAACCUGGCUAAUGAUGGAGAUUAAUAACAUUGACUCCCAAAUUCACGAGAAUUAAGCUUUUAAGUUGUUGAUCAAUAUCAUAAUGGGUGGAAUUCUACGCAUGUUGUUAACCUGUGUAAUACCGAUGACUAUAACGAGUGAAUGGCGAGUUAUUGAUUGCUAUAUAUUUUGUCAAGCUAAUUGACACAGAAGUGUUUGCUGAAGUGUGGGGAUAACCCUCCAUGGCCGAGUAAUGGGUGAAGGUAACUUGCGGCUAAAAUAGCUACAGUAGAACAAGGAUGCAUAAGAAAGGUGUGACUAGAAGCAAAAUGAUUGCAAGUUCAACGUUGUAUUAGCCGUGCAUUGGCUAGAGUUAACUUCAAUGAUCAGUGUUUGGUUCAGAAGGUUGAUUUGGCUUCACCUCGUCCUGUUAUUUCGGAUGAGGUUCUAUUUUAGAGCAUUUGUUGUGGAUCACCUAGACAUGCCGAUAUUGUUGUGGAUGAUGAACAAGCAUUGCGGGGUGCUGGGUGUGGCAUUUCGUCUUUUACCCAGAUAGAGGUAAGGUAGAAUUAAAAAAGAAGUAUGGCGUUUCACCAAGAAAUGCCCCGUUCUUAGUGCUAAUUAAUCGAAUAUAUUAAAUGACUAAUGAUAUUUUUAUAGUCCAAUUUACUAAAUAUUGGUUUAGGUUUCCUUCUAGAUUUCUUUCCACGCAUUGGAUUGGCCUUGGAUGAUAUGACCUAUCCCAGGCUGAAUUGGAAUCAAAGUCUCCUGGUCUGGGAUCCGAUCUCAACUAUGUAAAAUCAUCUUGUUCCCCUUACAACACAGUUCAUGUGCAGGGAAGAUUUGAAUUGGGCGUUUGAGUCUGCGUUAUCUUGAUUACUUUGUUUAUUAGUGGUGUUUGUCUCUUAAGUGGCAUGACUUCCUCUAGAGUUUACAGAUACAGAGCUGAGAGAGUUUGGUACUAUCUCGAAUGCUCUUACAAUCAAACCUCCUUGAAUGUCAGAUGGUCAAGUACUCAUGUCAGUUUGAUUUUGGAUCUUUUAUCUCUUUGGACUGGACUGUCAGCAGAUAAAGGCUGUCUUACAAUCAGUCUACUUAGAUGUUUUAAUUUAGCGCAUGGAUCUCCAAUCAGGUUCACAGGUGAAGGUAAAUUUCAUCCAUUGAAAGCUAAAAAUAGUUGAAUUUUGCUGGACAGAGGUGUGAGACACAGGCACAUGGUACAUAUCAGGGUCCACAGCAGGGAGGAACGAGGUUAACAAAUGCUUAUAAGCCUCACUAGUGGAUCCCACCUUGGGAACUCCUGAGUCACUUUGAUGUUCUGACUUCGAAUUAGAGGAAGAAAUGAAGAAGACAGAAGAAUGAUAGCUUUAGGCUGUAGAUGCACGAGAGGAAAAAGGAGGUAGUAGAGGGCUGUAUCAAGAACAGAGGAAAGAGAAGUGUAGCUGAGAAGGACAAUAAAUGUUCUAUGACGUAGCUAGUUUCUGGCAAUGCUUGUACCUGUUGAGAUUUCAGUUAUUCCUCAGCCUCUCCCUCUCAACAGGCGUUGAGAAUAUUCUUACAUAAAAAAAAACAGAUUUGUAAGUUCUAAUUGAGAAUAAUGUAAACUAUGGGUGUAAACCUUUUUCUAUUUUUCAAGAAUUUUCAGUUGUCUAUCCUUAGAUAGGCUGAUUUGGCUAAUCUAGUUUAUUCUAUGUCAACGCCAACUAAUUUGGAAUUUGAUCGUAAUUCUAGCCUUCUCUACCAUGAGAAUUGCGAGUUCACUUUAGUGGUUACUGUGUAAAUCUUUUAUGCAUUUUUAUGGCCCAUUCUUUAUUCAUUAAAUUUAGCCAUGCUGCAACUGGAGCCAUACUAUAAUAGAAUCACGACUUUUGGUGUGACAGACGAAACUGAUUUGCUGGCUUCCUAGAUUUCUUUCCCUUCCUCUGUUUAUCAUUUUUAAUAAAAUUUGAUUUAAAUAGUCGAUCUAAAAUUUCUGGAGACGUGUUUAGAUGCUGAAGAUGUAAUCAGUAAAAAAUCAGUUAUGUUGAAGCCGAAGAAAAACCUGAUACGUUUGGGGGCAUAGAAGCAUUAGGGUCUAAGAAAUGAUGAUCAAACUUCCGGCUUGUGGUUUGAGAAUGUGUAAACAACCACGAAAGAUAACAAGUGUGGAGAGGGACAAUGUCACUGAGACCACACUCAAGAGAUGGUGGCAGCUUGAGAGAGAUUGUUGAAAGGGGAAAUGGGGAGAGGAAGUGGUAAUAUCCCUAACACGGGGCUUGGAGGGUCCCCCAACCUCCCAAGUUCGUUCCUCCCCUGCCCUAACCCUAAACCCCCUUUAUAUAUAGCCGACGGUCUGGUCUGUUAAAGUGGGCCGGGCCUUGGCCUUUCUUCAAGAGUACAUUAGGCCCAGUGGCCUAACAGAAUGAUGGUACUGGAGUGCAUUAGGGAUAAGGCCCCUCCCAUUGAUACAAUGUUUCUUUUUCUUUUUUUAAUUGUUUGGAGGGCAUAUUCACUUUACAAUGACAAAGCAGAAAAGAGGAAGCAAUUGAUUAUUUAUUGAGUUAUUUUAGGUUCUUCUCUGCUGAUCCUUUUAUAUCUUCAUCUUGAUUAUUGUAAGCUUAACAACAGUGCUAAUACCUGGUUCGUUAGAAGGAAAAGGGUGACGCUAAAAUCUCACAGAUUUUCUUCUGAUCAGUUAUCUAUAUAGAUAUAACUUCCUGCUGGUCAUAAGUGGUUCCAUUGGAAAAUGGCUCCAACAUUCAUGCUACAGUCAUUAAAAUAAGUAAUGUUAGAGUUACCCAUUUUUAUUCAUCUUUUUCUUUGUUAGGUUAUAAUUUAGGUAUACAUUUGUCAGUAUUUUCCCUAGAGAUAAAAGAUGACUAUGAACCGAGCUUAUUGCUAUAAAUUUCCACAUUGAAACAUCCAUUUUACCUGUGUUUCAUUGGAAGGAGGAUUAUGAUGAUCAUGUACUAUUUUGUUGUCAGGUUUCCUACUAUAUUUCACAUCCACUCUCUUAGCUACAUGCAAUGGAUGGCUAUGUUGGUCUCAUGGAUGUGGUUUUAUUCUUAUGGGUAUGUACCUGGAGUUCUGUGUUCCUCUUCUAUUUCAGUAAUGUUUGCCAAAAAUUUAAUGUCAAAGGCAUCCUUACCAUAAGUUUUUAUCUUGCAGCUUGUCCACAAAUUUUGUUUCUAGCAUCCUUCCUUCUGCUACUCUCAUUCUGGUAAUAAUUCAUAUGCCACCCAGUAUGAUAAAUGUUCCAACAUAAAGUUUAUAAUAUUUUGCAUUCAUUUCUCAUGUAUUUAUAUCAGCUUGUAACAUGAUUUCUUCGGCAAUUGCCUUUACUUUCAUGUAAAUUUAGUUUGCCUACUAUUUUGCCUGUAAAUGUCUGUCAGAUGAAAUGGAAUAAGACAGAAUCUUGGUUGACGUUGAUGGAACUGUGUUUUUUAAAUAAAGAAUCGUGAUUCUGAUGGAAGCGAAGAGAGUUUUCCAUUUCUAUAGUUAGUAGCCGUAAUGCUUUUAUCUGAAAGAAAUUAGAAUAUUCACUUGUUUAAAAGGUGCAGGAACAUAAAUUAAUAUGGUACUGAGCCAGAGAAAUAAUCCUGUAUAGCAGUCCAGUGUGAAAGUAAAUGGUGACAAUAUAAUGACUAUCCCCUUGUCUUUUGUCUUUUUGUGUGAUGCCCUUCAGUUGGGUGACUUUAUCUGAUGGAAUUUUGAACACAUUUAUAAUGUAUCUGAUAUGGAACGUACUUUUCUUUAUGCUUUAUUCUAUCUGUAGCAUAAUUUGAUUAUAUGACAUAACCCUCCUUGAUUAACACUUAUAUUCCUUGAAAAAACUGGAGUCUUGUUUCAGGACAGGGAAGAGAUUUGCUGUAAUCAGUCUGGUAUUGCCUUUUUUCUUGGAAACCUAUUUGAAAUCCUAGUGGUUUAGGAUCUGAAUUAUACUGUUUUCAGUGUAGCAUCUUCAUAUUUGCUGAUAGGUAUAUAAGUAGGGUUGCCUAUCAUUCAUAAUUUAGGUAAGUAGAAUGAUGAUAGGGUCCUAGGACAGUGGCUUCAAACUGAGAGGAAUCAAGAAAGAUAACUCAGGAAAUGGAAGGGAAAAUUAGAACUGAAAUAGAGAAGAAAGGAGGUAGAGGAGAGCUUCCAAGUCAGUGUCGGGGGUGAGUUCGAGGGCCGCUUCAAGCUCUCCCACUGACUUCUUGUAAGUCCCCCAACAGUAGGGAGCCCUCAGGGUCCUACCCAUCCACUUAAUCGGCUCUUUGUCCCAUUGGCCCUCCUGUAUUUUACUGGCGUAAGUCGCCUGGAUAAUGGGCCUGGUAUGUUAGUUGCUUUGAGAUCAAGCCUUCUGCACGUCUCUGAAGAUGCAUAUGUUAGGAUAGAAUAUACUGUAACUGUUUGGUUGAGGUUCUUACUAGAUCCUGAUAGUGUGUAUGUAUAGGAAAUGAGGAAACUUUUUUUGAUUGCAAGAUGGGUUUACCUUUUGGGAAUUGGAAGGAUAGUGCGUUCCAGGACAUAUUGUUUAGUUUCUUAUUUUGGUGCGAGUAGCUUAGGGCCUUUUUGAGAGAAAUCGGUCCAAAUUAAUUAUUCCAGUUUCUUAGAUUUAAGCAUUACAUGCAACAAUGCAGAGGAGCUUUGAUAUGCAGUUUAAUAAAUUGCUUGCUUCCCCUUUUCAUUUUUCUAGCAAUUGUUUGUAGGGUGGACCUCUGUCAUCAGGCUAGUGAUGAAGAUGAUGAAGAAUAUGAUAGCUACACCGAAGCUCUGUUGGAAAAGGCAGAAAACGAAGCAGGUUCUUCACAUGUGGAUACUCGACGCAGAUUUUGUUCAUUCUGUUCAAGUCAUAUUGGAAACCGUCAAAAGUUUGUAAUCCUGGUAUGCUACAAAAAUGUUUAUUUGUUAUAUUUCCACGUUAUUUUUGCUUAAGUUUCUUGAAAUUUGUGUUGACCAUCUUGAUUGGAGCAUAAAAUGGUGUUCUACUUAACGUUAGUUGUACUGUUGUUGUAGGUGAUUGUGCUGACAUUUCUUUUCAUGAUUGCAUUCGCAAUGCUUAUCUGGGUUGGGAAAGGCAAAAACCCCAUUGACUCCUCACUUAUGGCUAAGGUAAGAAGUUAUUUUCCCACAUGUGGCUUACACUUUUUUCUAUUGCAAAUUGAAAGAUGAGGAAAGACAGAAUGGUAUCUUUUUAUGAACUUUUGAGUUUCGUGUGCCUAAUAAUUUUGUCAGUUUUCUAUGAUCCAAAUGUGUUAUAUUUCGUAACAUAUUUCUUGUGAACAUAUACGGUUUUAUAUCUCCUAAGAGGCAAUCAAUAUGGAACUCAUGUUCUGGCUUUACUGGAAGCUUUUGAUACAGAUCGUAAUGAAAAGGUCAUAUGUUUCUCUCGGUUAAUUUGUGAAAUAGGUGAUGACCUUUCUUCCCAUCUGAAUUGUUCCCCCACGUACCUUUCUUCCCAUCUGAAUAUGCCCAUUUUUGAUAUUUUACAUUUUAUAAAUUUUAAUUCGCAUACACUUUCUUCUUAAAUAUACAGCAUCUUUCUUGUUUCUGUUUCUGUAAUAAAUUUUUGUCUAAAUGUUUUAUAAUGCCAUCAUAGCUGCUAUGUGAAUACAAGUAUCUAAUAAUGAAUGUCACAUGCACCUUUAUGUUACGCCAGUUUUUCUAGAUGUGUCUGGCAUCAGCCAGUAUUCGUAUAAAAGCUUUUCUUGUAGAUGUUUCUGUUCAAAUGGUUUUUAACUAUCUUUUAAUUACAUCGAGCUCAUACUGUCCAUUAAAUCAGAUUUCUUACUGGUUAUAUUACUGACCUUGAGUGUACUAAAUUCCUUAGUUGAUCAAGAGCUCUUUAAUCCGUACAAAAAUUUGUUUUUUCAGUCGAAACCAGGUAUAGGUGUUAAAUGUUGUGUUAUGAGUUUCUUAACGUUUGUCAUUUUUAUUUGCUUUGACAUUUCAGUUUUAUCUAUUGGAUGUAUAAUUCCUGAUUUUGUUUGCUUUGUAACUUAUCUUAUGCAGGUCUAUCUAGAUAUCUUUUCCGUAGCAAUUUUUACUCUAGGCGGGGCUUUGGCUUGUUAUGGUAAGGAAAUAUAUUCUCAAUGGUGUAAAAAUCACAUAAAUAGUAAUUCAGCUAUUCUAUGUAGUCCCAUAACUUUGUAUACGAUGAAAGUUCGUUUAUUUUCCAAGUACAUCAAUAUCCUUCAAUAACUGAAACUUUUCGAAGAAAAAAAAUGCCCUAGCCACAAUAUCUCGUCUAUACAUCUGUUAUCAUGCGUCAGUAUUGCAAUACUCCUGAAUUGUCUGAAAUUGUCUAAAGCAUGACGUGUCCUAGCCUGGAAUCGUCUGAGCUUGGCUACGUUUAGGUGACAGUUGUAGACCGCCAAAACUAAUAUCCAGUUGACAGUAGGAUAUGCCUUGCUUGAGAGGGCUUCUUGGAGGUUUCUUCUGAAGGUAGAAAAUCCAUCAGUAAAACAAAAUUCACAGCUACAUCAAGGAUUUAGGUCAAUGGUCAAGGAGAACAUGCAACCCUUAAAUCCAUCGUGUAAAAUUGAUAAAUUCAUAGAUUCUUCUAACCCAGAACCCUGGUCUUAGUGCAAUACCUCUGAUCAUUUGGUUAAAUUCGAUCCCCAUCAAAAUCAGUGAGAUAAGUACUUUUUAACUGUAUUAGAAGGAUUUUGUUGCACACGUUUUGGAUCAGAGUAUACCUGCAAUAAAAGACAUAAUCAGAUUCUUAAUUUUUAAGCAAAGAGUUUGCUCUCCUAAUUUGAGAAAGAUAUUUAAAAUAUGAAAUUUCUUAUAUUUUUUGUAUUAAGUUUAAGAUUAUAACUCCAAUAGGCUUGGGUUAUUUUGAAAGAGUGACCUUGCUUAAUGAGAACUCUUCUUUAGAGCUCUGAUACCAUUCACCUAGGCUGAUUUCCCCACCAUGGAUGACUCUUCUACUAGGGUGUAUGUUCUUAAGCAACAUAAAUUUAGAAACACAAACAGGGCGAUAUUUUGGUCUAUGAAGCCCCAAUGCAACGAUUGAUUACCUUAGCUUGUGAUGUUUUUAAGUUUCCAAAGCAACAGCUUGUUCCCAGGAUAGACUACAUUUCUCUCUGUAAAGAGGCUCCCUGAAAACGUUUGAACGAAUCUGCUAUUCAUUUAUCUCAAUUUAUUUGUAAAGCUGCAGGUUUUUGGUUGCCAUUGAUUUCUAGCUCCCACUUAUUUCUGCUCAGCCUAAUUUUCCAUUGGAUUAUGAGGCCAUUGAAAUGCUUAUCCACUGCAAAUCUGGGAGCUGUAUUCUGCUUGGAUAGGGCUCAGUGCUUCGGAUGAUGCUGUACUCUUUCUGCUUGUCCCAUAAAUGAGAUGAUUUGAACUGCCAUCCAUUUAUUUUCUACUUCUAUUGAUUUUAGUGAUUUGAUGAGUUAUUACUUUGCUACACGGGGAGUAAGCAGAAGUCUACCUUUGAUAGUGAAUGAUAUACACAAUGAAUCUAUGCAGUUUUUUUACCCUUAGAUUAUAACAUUCUUCUUCUUAAAUCGUGUGAUAAGCUGUGUUCAAAUUUUGUGGUUGUCCCAUAUAGGAGGGCUACUUUUCUCAAAAAUGAGCAAAGUACGGUCUGAAAUGGCUUCAACAGAAAUGUGGAAGGUAUCUUUUUAUAAUCAUUGAAAAUUAUAUUUUCCAGUUCAGAUGAGGCAUGAAUGAAUCUAGUUAUUUCCAUGUAAAGGUAUUUCCGAUUGAAAGUUUAUGGGAAUUGCAGGAUUGAAAGUUUAAUUUGGCACUAUGCAUCUUAGUUACCAGCCGUUUUUACUUGUUUCUUCACCUCACUCUGGUCAUUUAUUGUGGUUUGUGUAACAUCUUUUCUAUUAACAGGUUGCCAGUUUGGCUGCUGUGACUCUUGUAUGUUUUACGACAAGUGCACUAAUAGCUCUUAUUUCUAAUGUUCCCGUAAGUUCUUCAUCAGCAUUUUUUUAUUUAAUUUCAGGUAAACGUAAUAUUUCUGAUUUGGUUUAAGUCUUCAUUUCUUGCCGUAGGUUCUCUAUGACCACAAACCAGAUGCAUAUAGAAGAAGCAACCCGAUUCCAUUAUUUCUAUACUAUUUUGUUGGUAAGUUUACAUAUUUUCAUUGAACCUAUGUUAGUGACCUGGUAUCGGGGUUGAGCAUAAAUAUGAGAAUGUUCAAUGCGUAUAAUGCUUCAGCUGUAUUGCCACUUUACAUGGUCAGGAUUUACUUUUUGCUCUAUGCUUCGUUACAUAUUACAUGUAUUCUUUGGCACCCAAGUUUAUCUUUGUUGUGAACAGUGGCACGAACCUUAGGAGGAUAUGCAGACGAAAAGCUCAAACUCGUAUUCACAUCAUAGAUGACUAUUAUAUUCAAGUGCCAGCGCCAGAAAACAAGGAAAAAAAUACGUAACAAAUAGGGAAUCAGCAAACUAGCAAACGAACCAACAAACCAGGAAAUGGUCCAACUAAGAGCUGAACUCCUAGUUAUACAUUCUUUUCCAUAAUCUUCCCAAAACGAAUUUGAAAUUGUAUUGAAGCUUGGGUUUCUUGGAAAUAUUCGGUAUUAUUAUUCCAUUCAUUGCUUAGGUUCUUGAUGCUGCUCCAAAUAGUUGCAUGAUAGGAACAAUCUUCAAAUAUACGGGAACUUUGGACUACAUUGGCCCUUUAUUGUAGAUUGUUGUGGUUAAAGGUUCCUAUUAUCCUCUGUACUACGGAUGCUCUGAAAUUGAGUAACUGGAAGGAUUGAUGGCACUGCUACACUUGGGUAUCUACAAGAGUCACGGUAGCCAUUGAACAGUCAAGCAGGUUUCUAGCUGGAAUACUAUAUAAUCUCCAUUAAAGAUGAUAAAUUCUACGUAUGUUUUGGCCACCGUGGUUUCUUCCAGGGUUGGACAGUUAAAUAAAAUCCAAUCAUUACUCGUACUCUUCAUCCUGCACACUCUUUUUUCUCGAUCUGCCACUGAGCUCCGUUUUCUCUUAACAUAGAUUUUGGUGUUCGCCUUGCUCCUUCCCAAACGUACUGCAUUAUUUCCUGUUGUCACCUUUGUUGCUGCCCAGCUUUUAUUUUCCACCAUCUAUGCCAUCGCUCUGCUUCGAAGUAAGUCUUUUAGAAAUGUGGGCUCCUUAGAUACACACCCUGAUAAAAUUUUAGUUGCACUUUUCCUUCUAUAUCAUCCUCUAAAGUUUGCACUACUGUGCGCCAUUUCUUCUAUUGGCUCCUGUUGGCCGGUCUCUGGUUAAUUAUUCACAAGUGGGCAUUAUGCUUGCCUUUGCUCAUACUACAGCAUGUCCCCGUGAUGUGCUCUUCUUACCUCUUCUGAAAAUGGCUUUCCUUGAAUACCCCAUGAGGCCCCCAUUGUCCUUAUUUGACCUUUUCCUCUCUCUCCCAGGUUCAACGCUGCCCUCGGUGUUCGUGCUCUGGAUAAUGCGAGAGAUGCCUCGGCAGGUGAUUGACAGAGAGGCCCGGUCAAGAGUGGUGACUUUCGUCAGGGAGAGGUCGUCUUCAAAGCAUCACCCACAACCCUGGACUACAGCGACGACGUCAACAAACCAGGUCCGGUCCAUCGUCGCUAGAACAUCCAAAGAUCCAUUUGGGUGUCGCUCAAAUGAUUCUGGUUGAGCGAAUCAAUUCUCGCAUGUGUGUGAACUUAUCCUCUGCAGGCCUCCAGAGCAAGCCCCGCAUGACAUGCAGCCUCUCUCCCUCGAUUUUCCUUCAUUUUGGAGGCUCGAGCUGUGCGCUGCCUGCCUGCCUGGCUUGAGCCUCUGAGUCUGCCAAUGGCCGCGUGGAGGUUGAGGCGUGGAUCCUGGCUGAAAAUGGCAUCCAGCCCAGGAAGCUAGAUCCAUUCUUCUUCACUUUCCUGAAUGAUGGAGCGAGCCUGUUGAGCCCCUGAUCCCCAGAUUUGUGCCAUCGUUCAUAAUCUCUGAAAGGUCCUCAGUAGCCCCACGUCAGUGUAAAUAUACCUAAUCAGCCACUGUGAUUUUUUAUGGUGGGAUACAUUCUUCUCCCUUUUACUUUGUUAAGGUUGUGGAUCGCUCCAACUGUUCAAUCCCAUUUGGGUAUUUCCGAUAUGCAUGGAGCUCUUACUUCUUACUAGUUGUCUCUUAUGUUGGUCAUGAGCUUGGAGGAGAUGGAGAGAGAGGCCAAGAGUAGGUAUAGCAUAUUGUAGAGGGUGAUUAUUGUAGAGCUUUUAAGAGGGGGAUAUGGGGAGCAUGAGCUAGUUGAUAUAUUUUUUACCUCUUGACUUGAGUAUUUCCUUCAUGUGUGACUUGCAACUUGUCACAAACUUUCUUCGUUGUCUUGAAGGUCAUUACUCUAUUAUAUUCUUUUACAUCUUAGCCCAUUUGUGAAGAUGUUUUUGGCUUUGGUAUUGAGGGAUAAAAUUUUCCCACAUUGAUUUAUGAAGAGAUAUUUAUUAACUGUUAUUGGUCUAUCUACAAUAAUCUCUCAUAGUUGAUAAUUCAUCUCCUAAAUAAAUAAUUUCAUUUUAUUUUUCUAAAAAUCAUAAUUUGUUCCAUUCAAUAGGGGUGGUUGAUGUACUGAUCCUCUUUCUAAAUUGUAUCAUAAUGUGUUGGCGAUUGAAUUUACUCAAAGAAAUUUCAUUCUUGUAAUCUAAAAGUAGACUCUAAUAUCACUUGUUGGGAUUUAGGUUAGUAAAGAUCAAGAAGAGGGGUGAAAUUGAUCUGCUCGUUUUUUCUUUAAUAGAUUUAUUUCUAUGAUUUUUUUAUCACUUUUUUAUUAGACUGAUUUUAGUGGGUUGUGAAUGUGGACUCACAAUUUAAAGUGGUUCAACAUCGGCUUAUCUUCACUCCUAAGGACACUUCAUGUUAUUGGGUUUCACUUAAUGAUCGUUCAUAUUAUAACCACUUAUUCUACAAGUUAACUCCUUUAGGAUUUCAUCAAGAAACCCUCUUCUAGAUUUAUGGCUCUAGGAAAUCUUACAUCGUUAUUUUCACUUGACAACUCCUCAAGUGAUUAGAUAAAUAAUCACUAUUUUAACUGACAAAUAUAAAUCAAUAUCACUCUAGGUUUAUUUGGAGGAUAUGCUUUGAAGCACUAGCUUUUUGUAAUAGUAGAAGACAAAUAUACAUAUGCUUGAAUCUUUAUUUUCUUGUUAUUUUUGUCAAUUGUCACAAUAAUUUGAAGGUUUGUCAUAAGUUCGGCUUGAAGAUAAAGAAUAUCUUGAAUGCUCUCCUCAAAAUGAUUUCUUUUGAAUCAAUAAAUAGCUAGUUGACCCAUCCUCUCUCUCUCUUUCCUAUGAAUGCUUUACAUGAGGAUUACUAAAUACAGGAAGAAUAUAUAGAAGAAUAAAUAUAGUCAUUAAUGAUUGUUUAUUUCUAUUGGAGAUCAGUGAUAUUUAUAGAUAAAUUGUGUAUACGUUAUUUAUAAAUUUUCUAGGAUAUCUAAUGACUAGAUUCACUUAAAAUAUAAUUAAAUUUGAAACUUAUAUUAAUCCAAUAUAACAUGGCCUUUUGUUGUUUUGAAUAUUUUCUAAAGAAACUACUACAUGAAUCUUUUAACACAAUGUUUGUAUCUAAUGGUAGUCUAUUCAUAGAAACUUGAUAAGCAUCUAAUAUACAUUGUUAUGAACUCGAUAUGAUGUCUUACAUAAGUAAUAAUUUAUUGAAUUAAAUAAGAUAUGAGAUGUAAAUAUGCUUUGUAUUCUUCAAUUUCAAUGUCUCAAAUCAUGUUGAUAUUGGUCUGUAUGAUUUUCAAUAUAUAUUUAGAAAAUCCUAUUUGAUGAAUUCAACACUCAGAUUAAUCAUACAAUUAACUUGACAUGAAAAUCAUUCGAUUGUUAUAAUGCAAAGUCAUAAGUUUGUACAAAACUAAAUAAGCUUCCAUACUAUUUUUUUACUUUACCAAAUCUCAUUGAUUUGCUUAUUCAAAUCAUUACUCUUUUAACUGUUAUGAUUUCUAUAUAUAAUGACAUUCUCAUAUAACGACAUACAAUAUGAUUGAUUUUCAUAAUAUUAUGAUUUGAUUGUUCAUAUACAUAUCACAAGUGUUUUAUAUUUAAUAUAUUUUCACUUGUAUGCCCGAAAUCAUAACAUUCAUACUUUAUGUAUAUAUUUUCACAUAUUAGAUUAUAAUGAAUAUUAUAUAUAUGAUGUAUUUAUCUAUAUUUAUUCACAUAGGUUUAUUUUUGAAGUAUAAUUUGCUAAUUAGAUUAUUCUUAAUUGAACUUUGGUGAUUUUCUCAUCAUUAAGAUAUGAUGCCUCCAUAGCUCCAACAAUUCUUACUAUAAUAUAUGUGUUAACACAUCUACUAACAUAUAAAUAAUUUGAAUAGAAAUUUUAAAAAAAAUAAAAUCUUUUAAAAACCUCAAUUAACCUUAGUUUUAACAUUUCAACUAAUCUUAGUAUUGAAAUAGACUUUGAUAUUAGGUAUCCAACGUAUGACUAAAGAGAAUAGAAAGUCAACCUUAUUAUUCAAAAAGAAAGGAACAUCAAUAACCACUUGGAUAAUAACAAGGUUUAAAUUAUUAGAUAUGGCAACAUUAGUCUCAAUAAUCAUAUUUCAAGUGAAAAUGUAGUAGUUGUAAAAGGUCUAAUACACAAUCUAGCAAGUCUUAGUCAAUUGUAUAAUAACAGAAACAAAGUAGAAGUAAUAAAUGAUAGUUGUUGUCUCUUAAAAUUUGAAAAUAGUAACCACAUACUAGUCGAGUAAGAGAGAAUAGUGUAGAUGUUUUUCAUUUGCAUAAAUUAGUUUUUUUAAUGAAUGUUUAAGAACUAGUUAUUCUAAAAAUGCACUGAAAAUUUGGCAUAAACAUUUAUAACAUGUGAGCACUUUCACCAUAAAGAAAUUAUAGAAAUUAUAUUUAGUGAAAAUAAUUUAUGAAUUAAAAAUCAAUAAUUACUUUGAGUAUGACACAUAUUAAAGGAAAAAAAGUUAAAAAAUUAAUAUAUCAAAAUAUAUGAUUGUGCCAAGUCAACUAUUGUAAUUAUUGCAUCCAAAGUCCCAUGAUAUGGAAAAAGUUAUGAUAUUAUUUUGGGAACACAAUGAUUCAGCAUACAAAUUGAAAAGAAAGAUUUAAAAAUCCAAUGAUGAUUUUAAGUAAAUUAUGAAUGAUUAUUAUGGAGAUUUUAGAAGUAAAAUAAUUUUAGAAUCCAAUGAUGAUCAAGAACUUUUUUUGAACGUUUUUGUCUUAGAACGUCCAAACAAAGUGGAGUUGUAGAAAGAGAGGAUACAACUCUUUUAGAUAUAUCUAAGACCAUGAUAGAAAAAAAUAAUGUUUUAUUAUUAUUGGAUUGAAGCUAUAAAUAUUGUAUGCUCCUUUAAGAAGAGAAUCACGAUCAAGUCUAUAGUGAGAGAAAACGCUCUAUUUUUUUAGAAAAUAUUAGUUAUUUUGUUAUCUUUUGGGUGCAAGUAUUAUAUUGUUAUAAAUGCUUCAAAGGAAAUGAGAAAUUUGAUAUAGGGACUGAUAAAGAAACUUUAUAAGACUUUUUUAAAGUUAUAUCACAAUUUAGAAUUAGUUAGUUUCUGAUCUAAUUUUUGUAUUGUAAUAUUAUUUAGCCCAUUUUUUUCUGAAGUUAUAAUUGAGUCCCUAUUUGUUGUACUAAUCAAACCUGAAAAGUUAAAAAUAGUAAAUAUGAAAAAUUAUGACAUUGUAAAUAGAAAGAUUAGUUGCUUUGUCCAUGAUAAAAGUCAAAUAUCCCUGACUCAAAGAUUACGACAUUGAAAUGGAAAAUUUCAAUCCUAUUUGUUUGUACUAUUCAACUAAAUAUUCCUAAUAAUUGCAUCGUAUGCUAUAGAGCAAAUCAUAUAGCUGCAUAACAUCAUUUUGUUAUAGAUGAUGUGAAUAGAAAUGAUAUACAAUUACAACUUUCUACAAACUAUAACAUAAAACUUGACAUUUCUAGUGGAAGAAAGAUACAAUUUAGGAAACAUGAAAAAGAUUGAAUAUGUAGUGUUGCUAAGGUACAAUUUGAAAUUUUCUAUAGCUUCAAUAUAAUUAUCUUUUGAUUAAAUAACUUCUAUGAUAAAGGCUCUAAACAUAUCUGCUGACUUUAAAAGUACUAAAUCAUUGUUUUUAAACGAUUAGAACUAUUGUGGCUAGAAGAGUUGAUGUAACCUAUAUUCCGGCCCUAAAUUCACCUGGCCCAUAGUAAAACGUGCCUUAAAUGCAUUAUAAAUUAAUUUCCCUUUUUAGUCAUUUUGAAUUUAAUUAAAUGUGUCUUGAACUAAUUUUAAGGUAGCAUAAUAAUAGUGCUAUUUUCUUCAGGGCAGCCUAACAAACUUUCAAAAUAUUUAAAUUUCCCAUGUCAUAGAGGUAUUAUUUAGUAUUCAUGAAGUAUCUAUUUUGGAUAUUUUACCUCAUUAUCGGUUGCUUAUGGUCCCUCUCUUGUGGAUUCAAGUGAACUAUUUUGAUAUUGUAUAGUCACAAUCACCCAUUAUGGAUUUAAACGUCAAAUCAUCUUAGUUUUAAUCAUUUAGAGUGAAGAAUCUUCUCAAAAAUUUUGUUUUCUGUGAAUUCAAGGAUGAGAUUUCAUCUCUACUCAACUCCAAAUGUGUAAAAAAUGAACUAAGUUUAAUGUAUGUGAUUAUUAUAUUUGUAUGCACACACAUGUCAAUCUUGGAAAAAUGUCAACACAAUACUUUUGAAUAACGUUAAGUAGAUUACAAGAAAUAUGUUCCACGUUACUCACAAUUUUAGCAGGAUGCAACUUCCAAGGCUAUAACCUAGUAUUAUUUUCUGGUCUAAGUUGGUAAGUUGUAGAUGUAUCUCAGUUACACUUGCUACGAUUCUCUAAUGUCAGGUGAGGGGCUUGAGAACUGGAAGAGCACGGCUAGCGUAGUCGUCAGUGUAUUUUAGUCCGAUGUCGUGGACUUCACGCAGUUGUCGAGGGCAAUGAGGUCUGGAUCCACCGUGGGGCUGCUGGCGAAAUCCUAAAAAUUGGGUCUUUAUGAAAAUUGAAGUUCCGGACUGAAAGACUUGAAGGCGUUGGGGGUUUUCACAGUGAGUUUGUGAAACCUUCCUGUUUCGGCACAAAUUACCGGGUUUGGGCCGGAAAUACCUCCCGCGACCUGCUUGCCCUGCGAGAAGUUGGUCUGCCCCGCUCUCUUCCCCGUCGCCCCCUCUUCUCUCGCCCUCUCAGAAGCCUCAUGCUGUUGCUGGCAUGUUUACAUCUUACUCUCUUCGGUCUUCUCCAUCAUAAUUUCUUGCCGGGGCUUAUCCCCGGUCGAGCGUUCUGUACUUCUCCGCUCUCUGAGGCUUAGUAUCAUCCUCGAAGGUGUCAUCGCCACUCAUUCGUUCUGCAUGGGAACCUCGGUGACGUUAAGCUGGAGUUAUUUCUGACGUACGCUCGGUACCCGCUCAUAACUGUGGCGCGUCUCGAUUUUCAUAGAGAGAUCCCCAGGUUUCACUCUUCAACCAUUUUGUGAAUGCAGUAUUCCUAAAACUGGUUAAUUUUUGCUUUUUGAGAACGACCUUUCGGAAGACGUAAGUAAUUUUCUUAUAGUUCCCAACUGAAUAGCCAAUGCAAUUUCCUGCACAGUUCAUUGUCUGACAUUCUUAAACCUGUGCAUUAUAUCUUAUAAAAAGUGCUGCAUAAAUACCAAAAAGAGAACAGCCUAAGAGGGAUUCAAUAAACGACUCCAGCCAUCUUUGCUCAUAAGCAUUUUCCAUUACAUUGUUUGGAAGUGGAAGAGCCAUCUGACUAAGAUUCACCAUGGUUGCUAUUCUAUUGAUCUUUUGGCAAAAUAGUGCAAAUUUUCUCUCCCAUUUCGUGAAAAAUGGGAGAGAAAGAACUUUAUAUUAAUUAUUCAAAUGACAGAAAAAAACUUAUUUAGGAAGAAUGCACAUGUUUAGCAGACAUGUUGCUACUUCAUGCUAUGUCUUGAAAACCGUUUUUCCUGUUGUUUCUUUGAAACGAAAAUUUUGAUCUCAUCUUCUAUAAAAUGGACUGCUAUGGUCGAAAGACAACCCGUUGAUGAUUCUCAGUCAUGGCUGUGCAGCAGUUUCCAUGAAAGACAUUACUCGGACAUUAAUUUCAAGCAACCGGAUGGACUUUCCUUCCUGGACAUCGCUCAUACGGGAGAUUGAGGAAACAUCCGCUGUAUGCUUCAUUCUUCCUUUGGCGUCAUUGUUAUAAAGUUUCGUACAGACCAUACAUUUCAAAUAUGUUUAAGAAUAGUUACUGAGAAAUCAUAAAUGCAGUGAGAAAAUGAAAGAUGAAGUACUCAACUUAUGUCUCAUUGUUCACAUUUAAAGCUAUUUAACUAAUGUGAUGCAGGAAACCAGUAUAGCACCGGCGAGCUUUACAUUGUUUAGUCAUCUAGGUCUAAUUUUGCGUUAUACCUUUGUCACCUUCUCUGUUUUAUAGACUCUUAGGCUGUAGAAAGCACAUUCAAUACCAAGAAAGCCCUUACAGAGAGAGUCUGACAAAGCAGACCGUCCAUUGAUGACAAUUUACCUUUUCUAAUUGAAACAAGAAACUUACACGGGCUGGAUCCUUGUUGAUAUCUAAUUUUUUGGCAUAUUGGUUAUGCGAUAGCAUUGGCUUUAGAAUAAAAACCAUAGGUGCGCGAAGCCAAGUAUAAGCUCAUGAACAUAUAGCUGUUGAAUUUCUUCACAGUACCUACUUGGGUUCUCACAGAUCUUCAAGGAUAACUUAUUAUACUUGGCAGGAGGAAUCCAGUAUAUGAAGCCUUUGAAUGGGGUUUAAAAACACAAUGGUUCUUGGCUAUGAUUUUAACAUUCAAAAUGUCUCAAGCUUAAAGAACCAAAGAAAAAAUCUCUCAAAUGCAUCAAUGUUCUCUGAAGUCUAUGGGAGUCUUCAAGUCCAAUUAUUUUGACCACUCUUUGUGGAAUCUGUAAGUCUAUUCUGGUUGAGUGAGCUUUGCAGUAAAUAAGGCUUUGCUUAGUUAUAAAAGAUUGCAUAGUACAAUAGGUUCGGUCUAUUUGUUUAUAAUUGUUAAAUUGACGUGAGUACUGCAGAAAAUAUCACUCUCUGGGCUCGACAGUGGAUGUGAAUCACUGUUAGCAGGUUCCCUAAUUGGUUUUGAUUAUUAUUAGCAAUCAGCUUUUUUUGUACUCUGUACUUAGCACGAGCAAUUCAUACUCACUUCUUAUUGAUAAUGUUGGUGAUUAGGUAUGGCGGAAUAUAGAUAGUUAGAUCCACUUUAGACCCUCCGCAGCCUUUUUCUAUGCAGCAUGAUUAAUAAAUAAAGUCUGGUAGGUUUAACGCAUGCAACUUGGAUGGUAUGUAGUGCUUCCAGUGGAAGACUGGUGAGUAAGGUAUAAGAACGUGAGAGAAGAACAAAUCACCGAUCAACUUUUCCUAAGAAGAAUUGGUUUUAGCCCAUGUGUUGACUGGCCAAUGCCCAUAAAACUACAACUUCAAAGCAGUAGGGAAUGCACAGCACUCUGCCUGGUAGUCUGCCUACCAUAGCCUUUAAAUCCCCUGAGGGAGUCCUCAUAAUUUAAGUUUCUCAUAAAUUAUAUUACUUUUCUCUGGCUGUCUUGAUGGGGCCCCCCCUUUUAUCUUGUACACGGGCUAAGACAUAUUCCCCUUAUGAUAUCCCCACAGUGGAAACACUGCUGCUAUUGCAACGGCCCACCCACGGAAGCCAUCAUGUGGUCAGUCUCGCCUGGUUCCUUUUGCUUCUUCCUAUGUCCACCUACUGCUGUCAUUCGUGGUCCAUGGACAGUGCCAUUGGAUCUGAAAGUAACAUGCAAGGAACUGUCAUGCCACACUGACAGCUCCUUUUUGACAUGAAUCGGCUUUUGUGAUCUAUUCAAUGAGAUCAUACGUUGGGCUGUUCAUAUGUGAUGAGAAACUUGUCUGGUCAAGUUGGGAAAAUAGUCAAGUUGAUCUCUUACUUUUUUGAUGGCAAUUAUUACUAUAGGUAUGAAGCUGCAAGUUCACAAAGAUGGUGGACAAUGUAUCCCCUGGAGGUUGUAAAAUACUGUAAAAAUUGUGGAAAAUCAAGGAAUAUUCAGUUUACACAUCGCACUAUUGACUUCGAAAGACAGGAAACAAGUAUAUGAGUUGGAGGUAGUUGGUGUCAAAGUGCUCACUGAGACCUUUGUUAUCUAGGAAGCUGCUUGAUAUGGAUAUCAGUUCAUCAGGACUUGUCCAUAGCGUGUAAUUUCUGCUGAUCAGAUCCAAGUUUUGCACAUCUAUGGUGAAAUCAUUGCUUAGGUGAAAGCCCAGUGAUAAUAAUAAUGAAAUUAAUCAACAUGGAUUAGCUGUGUGCAUUUUAGUAUAUUUUGAUCGAGAGAUAAACACUAUCUUAACUGACAGAGGAAUGACAAAUUAUUCACGUGAAAAGAGGCCAAGCUUGGGAAAGGUAGGGUGAUGUCAUCCAUGUAUUGUUAGUGCAUAAUCACUGUGGCUAGGGAAGUACUGCUGAAGAUAUAUUUGAAGGGUUGAUCUUUUAUUACUUUCUUUUUCACUUGAAAAGCCAACUAGUUUCAGAGCCUGAAAUUAUAAGAAUUAAUCCUUAAAUAUUCUCUGAUGUGAACGCUCAACUCAACUCUCUGCUGAUAUAGAUGCAUACAUUUUUAUGCACAAAAUCUAAAACUCAGACUUGAUGCAAAUUAAGAGCAAUUUCGUGGUGCAACACUGCAUCCUAGGUAUUAAGAAUAUUAGACCUUCAAAGUCAACGGCUUACAACCUGAAAGAUUUUUAUUUGUUGUCUUAUUUUUUGUCAACUCUUUAUUCUUCUAGCAAUUUUUUGAUAAAACUACCUUGCUUUUGAUUUGGAGUUCAAGUGAACUAAUUUUCUUUUUUGUUGCUUACAUUACUGAUGUAUUUUGGAUCGAAUGAUGAUCAUGACACACUCAUAGUCAUAUCAGUUUUAUGUUUUCUAUUACAACUACAGGAUGACAGUGGUGCCACAUCAAGAGUUUAUGAAUCCUUUUUAUCAGAGUAUCCUUUGUGUUAUGGUUAUUGGGAGAAGUACGCAAACCAUAAGGCACGUUUGUGUUCUGUUGACCAAGCGGUUGAAGUUUAUGAAGAAGCUGUGAAAGUAGCUACGUAUUCUGUUAAUCUAUGGGCCAAUUAUUGCAGCUUCGGUAUGCAAUUUUAUGAAGAUCUUGACGAUGUUCGAAGGUAUUAUAUAUCUUAGUAAUCAUGGUUAUGUUUUGAGAAACAUUAAUUGUGAUGCUUAUUUAUUCAAUUGAUGAUGUGAAAACAGAACCUUUCAGUGACAAAUGUUGAAGCAUAUGGAAUAUUGGUGAUAGAAGUCAUCCCAUUAGUGAGUUUAAUAAUUAAGGUGUAUAAGUACGGUUGCUAGUGAAUUGACAAGCACAUGAUGAGCAGUAUCUUUUUUGGAAUACUGUAAUUUCUUUGUUUAUUCUGAUGGUUACAAAAUCACAGUUUAUGCCUACUGGAUUGAGAUCUUGACAGUCGAUUUGCACUUUUCAACACAUUGAAUUAAAAUAGAGAGGAUGAUGCUCCGAGUUGGCAUAGGUGUUUAAAAUACCUAUUAUUCUCAGAAAUAAAAGAACUGUUGAUAACAUAUCUACUGGUCUCAACAAAUCUCAUUAAGAAUUAAAAUCAUAAUACAUAGAAGUAGGAAUUAAUCUAGGUACAAUGAUAAAGUUGGUCAAUGAAUGUGUUGUAAUAUUGACAGUUUACAAGAAAAGAAUUAGGACUGUAGACUUAAAAAUUAAGUUAUUCAGGGCUUAGUAUCGAAUGAACUGGUCAGUAAUCUUCUUGAAGAGUUUUGUGGAAAGGAAAUCUUAACGACAUUAAAAAUGCAGCUAAGAUGGUUGUGCCAUUUAUGCAUCUCUCCAUCCUGAAGUACUGUCAUACCUUGUAAAAGACAAGAAAACGAAAAUUUCAUACGGUUAUAGAUGACAGAGGCCUCUUACUUGAUGUCUAUUUUCAGUUGUUUCAUCGCCAAAUGUCAAAAAUACACUAAUUAUGUAGGAAAAGGGUAGGAUGAUAUAAAAUUUUAAUAACUUAUGAUUGAAAGAGGGUCAGCAAUGUGAGAGGAAAUGAAGAACACUGGACGAUGAUGGGUGAUCAAAAUUUAAAUCACGAAAAAGAUGUGUAAUAAUACCGAGGGUGAGAUUCUUCGUACCUAUUUCAGGUGAAGGUGUUUGGACGGUCCCACCUAAAUUGUGAAAGAAUCUUCUUGAAGGCGGGAAUAUUAGCUGAUGUUGUGCUAUUACGAUGAGAUUGAGAAGUAGCUGCUACUAGUUUGAUUUGGUGAUUCUCCUUGCCACAGUAAAUGAGUACUCUGAAGAGAUACCAUGCUGAAAUACUCUUCUUCGAAGGGGCUCUAUUGACAAACGUAUUCUGUAAUUAAAGAUCAAAUAAAACUAACAAGUAACAUCAUCUUAGCAAAUUCCUUUAAAGAUGUCAUUUAGUUUUCUGAACAGGUCUUUACAUCUGUAUGAAUGCUGUUGUUGAGUUUUUUUUCUACCGUGGCUUAAUUUUCAUGUUUCUUUUGCCAAAUUACCUUUAUGAAUGGAUUCUUUUUCAAGCUGUUGUCCGGAUGUGUCUAGUACCCAUCACGUGUCUUCCUUUAUCACUACAUGUGUGUGUGUCUAGAACCUUCUGAGGGGGCUGAUAUAAAUACCAGACCCCCCUCUCUCUUGUAUGAUUGAUUUUGUUUGAAUAACAGAUGAAAUUUUCCUUUCUUUUUCUGUGCGUGAGUUACCAUACAGCGCACAGAACUUGAUUCAAGAUUCUACAAAAACGAAUAUGUUUAUUGACUAGCCUGUUUAUAUUUUUUCAAGUACUUUUUAUUUUGUCUUUUUUGGUCUAACAGCCAUUUCAGAUCAGUAUAUUCAGCCAAUCAUUAAAUGCGGUUCCCACUGAUCUUGUUAACAUGCAUUUGGUAAAUGAAUGUGAAUCUAUUUAAUUUUUUUCAUGAGAAAAGAGUCAAGGUGGUAAGGUCAUUGUUGGCUAUAUAUAGUUAAAAAUAAUUCUUCUUAUAUAUUAUUCCCUUUUUAGCUGUUGCACUUUUUUAUUCAUCGUUGCUAUCAUCAUUAUCCACAAAAUCACUUUGACCGGGGUUGAGCUUAUGAAUCCUGUUGUGCCAACCUACGCUAUCAUUAUCAUUUUCGAAUUCUAUAGGUACAUUUACUUUUUCGGCCCUUUCUGUGAAAUUAUUGUUAAACCAAGAGAAAAAAGUGGAGAUGUCCAUUCCUUUUGUUAAUUUCGUUGUGUGGGCAGGUUGUAUGAAAGAGGUUUGACAUUUGUUGGAAAAGAUUACCUAUGCAACACUUUAUGGGAUCAGUAUCUUGCAUUUGAGCAUUCUCAUAAACAGUGGAAUCGCCUUGUUGGUGUUUACAUUAAAAGUUUGAGAUUUCCAACUAAAAAAUUGCAUAGUUAUUACCAGAGGUAUGAUUCCUAUGUUUUGACAAUUAUUUCUAGUUUUAAUAAUUAUAUCUUAUAUUUUGAGAAAUGUUUACUAUCUGAUCCGUCAGCUUCAAGAAGCUUGUUACCAGCCUGGAAGAAGAAAUUAAAUAUCAAAAUAUUUGGAUGGAUUUAACAGAAGGUUCAGUAGCCAAUGAGCUGGGAGACUUGAAUACUGUUAAUGAUUCAAGAAUCAGAAGUAUUAUCAGUUUUCUUCUUGAUCAGCCAGCUGCCCUCUAUAGAGGUCAAACGCUUAAGACAAUUUUGACAAUUGGGGAAUAUUUCUAUCGGAGAUCAUCUGACAUUGAUGAAAAGAUUAGUUGCUUCGAAUCUGGGAUUCGAAGGCCUUAUUUUCAUGUAAAGCCCCUUGAUAGCAGUCAGCUGCAGACCUGGCAUCGCUAUCUUGACUUUGUUGAGACACAAGAGGAUUUUGAUUGGGUAUAAUUUCCCUAUUUUUCAUCACUGUUUUAGUUAUUGUUCCCUUUCGGAUGGACAUCGACAAUGUCUAUUUGCUUUUAUUUACAGACUGUGAAACUGUACGAGAGAUGUUUAAUUCCUUGUGCUAAUUACCCUGAGUUCUGGGUUCGCUACAUUGAACUUAUGGAAGCAAGUGGAGCUAGGGAGAUAGCAACUCACGCAAUCGAACGGGCAGUCACAUCUUCUCUCAAGGUAAAAAGUUUAAAAGGACCUAAUGACCCUAUUUCGUUCCCAAUAUAAGUUCACACAUUUUUAUAUAUUUCGUCAAGUUAUGUUCAACCAUUUCUAGUGCGAUGGUUGUGUCCUAAUCCUCAUGAUUUAUUUGUUGAUGGUGAAUUUGUGCUAGGUUACAUAUAACUGAGGAGAUAUAUCAACCAUGAUACUUGACAACACAGUACUUAGAGAUAGAGUGAAAGUAGGUGUAGAAAACAAGUCUUUUUUGAGCAUUACUCUUUGGUUUGGAUACACCUGAAUCUUAAUUUUUUAGUUAUGCAGUGUGUGGGUGCUGUCUUAUGUCAAGGUCUGGAUAGUUGGGAAUUUGUUUCUGAACUUCUGGGUCCUAAUCCUAUCCAAGGUUGGAAUGGAGUGGCCUAUCUGCUGUCUAAGGAAUCAUAAAAGUUUUAAAAAUUCAGAAAAUAUGAAAAUCAUGAGAUUAUUCAAUGUGAUUUUAAAUUACUUCCACUUUAUAUCUAAAAUGAAUAAGUAUACUAUGAAUUAAAAGGAUCAAAUUAGAUGAUAGUAGAUGAGCAAUGUGGUACAGAAAUUAAAUGGUAGAUGUACUAUGUUAGAGCAUGAGUAUAGGUAGAAAUUGUUGGAGAUUGUGAUGCUGGUCCUAUUUGGUUAAACAUUUUGAUCACUAUGAUGCAAGCCAUCAUUUCUUGAUACCUUUCAGAUAUGUUCUGAAAUGUGAUUGAUUUUACCUUGCUUUCCAUAUUUGUUGGUCUUCCUUUUAAUCACUGUAUCCAUACUUGCUAUUGGACUAUGAAUGUGUAGUUCUAGACUUUGAGGUAAUUAAAUGAUCCUCUUUGUCGUUCAAAUGCACAUAGUUUUGUUUUCUUGCUUUAUUUGUUCUUAGCUCACUGUGCUUUCUUGCUUAUUGUAUAUGUGAUCCCACUUGCUUAUGGUGUAGCAUGUACUAAAUCAUCCUUCUUUCGCUAAUAUCACUUUUUUACUAUUACCUAAUAAGGUUCUUUUCUUUUUUUUUUCUGUUUGUCUUCAAGGACAGUAGAGCCACAUGUUUAUUUUUUCUUUAUCAUAAUUGACCCUUCGUGUCAAGCUAAACUCAAGCACAAAUACUGAUAUUGAUCAUUGAGAUUGAUGUACUGAUUGUUUGCUAGUCAGGAGAAACUCAAUUUUCAGGUCUUUCCAUAAGUUUUUUGAAAUAAAAAUUGAAGGUAAGAAAUGUAGGCUAUUGCAGAGCUCCUUACCUAUGUGACCACUGCUAGUCGAUUGUUGUGUUAAUAUAUCAGUCCAUUUAUCAUCUAGUUCGUGUAUGGAUAUCAUUUGAAUGCACUGCCAUGUGAAUGUCGUUUAAUAUCAUCUAUAAAAAAUAUGUUGUAGCAAAGGUCCUUUUUCCGUUCACUAGAUACAAGCGAAGUUGAUCACUUCUCAUAACCUUUAUGAUAUCGAAUUUCACCGAUUUUCUCAAGCAAGGCAUAUCAUAUAUUAAUCUGAACAACUGGUUGGAUAGAGCCCUAAAUGACCUUUCUAUCCUGGAUUCAGCUUACAUCUACAUCAGGAUCAAGUACCUGCACAAAUAGGAGGGAUGGUGUAAAGGUUCAAAAUUUUCCAGUUCACUGAACCGAAGAAUACUCAGGUUAAAUACUUCGAUUCCAUGUGAAAUAUCAAUCUUUGUAAAAAAAUUUGAGAUAUUCUUUGCCAACGAAAUCAGUGAGGACGUCACUAUGAGUCCCUGGAUGCGUCAGAGCUGCUUUUGGGAUCUUCUUCUUAAGCCUGGUUUUUGUACAAUGAACCUCAGAGAUGCAGGGUAUGCCACAGGGUAGAGUGGUUGUGCCUAGUGAAGCAGUUGUGCUGCUUCUGAGCUGUGGAAAUGGAUGGCAUUGUGAUGCAGGGAUGGAAGACAGAAGAGAAGACUCUAUCACUGUAAAUCUAGAUUGAGUUGGUCAGGUUUCUAAUACUCGGAUUAUCUAAACCUUCACCGCCAUGAAGUCUGCUUGCUGUAAAUCUCUUUCUUUAAUCCUAGUUGCCUUGAAUUAGUAGUCUGCUACAUGGUGUAUUAAGGUGGCAGCUGUUAGAAGAAAUAUUGUCGACAGAUGUUGGAAUUGGAAGACAGAAGAGAAGACUAAGUCCCUAUGUAUAAGACACUAAAACAAUGGAGGAGAAACUGAGGUUAUUCACUCAGGGGAAGGAGCUCAUCCAGGAUGGAGUCAUUUACUCAAAUUUUAUGGGUUGAUGAUAAAAUGAGGUUAACCGAUAAAUGUACAUGCUUGCCUGUAGUAUGUAAGGAUGGGUGAAAAUAGUUUUCCAUUUCAAUCAUGCUGCUCACUCUUCUUUCUUUUCAUUAAGGGUAUUGACAAUCUUAAAAUUAGUAUAUCUACUAGAUAGAUUUUAUGAAAUGGCAAUCACAAUGGAUCAACCUCUCAUUUGACUCACUUGCCAUUUUGGUUAUAUAUGCUUCUUCAUGGAAAGCAGAGAGUUCCACAGUUUCGUGAAUAUUGUGCAAAGGUCAAAGAGCGCAUAGGGGAUGCAUCCGGUGCACGUAGUUCUUUGCAGUACAGCGAUACAGAGUUACUGUCCAAUUUUGUUGACAACAUCAAUCAACAAGCAAACAUGGAAAAGCGUCUUGUAAGAAAAUUUCUUGUAUUUAGUUGAAACAUCAUCCAGGUAAAAUUGAGAUGAUCAUUGAUAAGUUCGUUUUUCAGGGAAAUAUUGGAGCAGCUUAUUCAAUCUACGAUAAUGCAAUUCAAAUGCUUAAAGAUAAGGAGGAUCUGCACGUUUUUUGUCUUCUCCAUCUGCACUUUGCCAGAUUUGCUUACUUGGUGGGGACUUUAGUACAGUUUGAGAGAAAUUAUCUUCUCACGUUAUAUACUUGCACACUACUAAAAUGCCUGUGACAUAACCACGUUACAAGACUGAAGAAUGGACUUUAUUCUUGACAUGGAUAGUUAUUUUAUACUGGGGCUCAUAAAACGCCGUAGUACAUUUUUCAUUUUCUUUCUUGAAUAAUUAAAACUGAUUUCUAAGUAUAUUGGUUGUUUCUGUUUACUUUCUACGUGAACAUCAAGCUCGCGUUAAAAUGAGUGCAACUGAACCUAAUGUCUUGAUAAUCUAAAUUUAAUAAUGAUUUCAUUGGACAGCUCAGAAUGUGCCGACUUGCAAUAGGUUUAGGUGUUAAACAACAUCUGUUGUUUAUAUAUAUCAUGUCUAUGGUAUGAUUCGUUUGUGUCGAACAUUGUCUCAAAGGAUUUCGCUGUAUUUCCUCGGUUUGAAGAUGAAUCAAAAGGUGGAAUCAGAUUGCGACUUUGAUAUUCGUUCUUUGGAUGAGGACUUUGGAUGAAUUUUAUGGUAUUUUACUCAAUUCAAGGAGAUUUCUUCUCCAGGUGCAUUGUAUCGUUUGUUCAGGCUUGCCAUACUGAAAAUAAUAAGCAUAUGUUCUCUCCACCUUAUUUACAUUUCGUUGGUAUUUCUGUAGUCUCCUUUUGGCAUGGUCUUUUGAUGGCUUAUUCUUUCAUAAUAAAGUGAAUUUUCCCUGCCUUAAUAGCCUAGGGCCACUCUUGAAUUUUUCUAAGUCCUUCGUGAAAGGGAAACUUUCUAUUUUUUUUGGCGUUUUCCUUAGGGAAACUGUCUGUUUAUUUGAGUCUGUCAGUCAGGUCUCCAAUAACAAAAAGGGAGUCUCGUCUUCAUUGUAAACACUUUUGAAUGAAUGUGGCUUAUGGGCCUAUAUCCUGAAUGAUUAACUGGGAUACUUAUCGGAGACAGUGUGAGGUUAUGCUCUAGUUGAUUCAGUAAUAACAAUUCUACAAUGAAGGAUACUCUUAUUAAGAAUUUUCUUGAGAGAGAACGGUAUUCCAUUUCAUUAGGAUUAUCCGUCAGCUUAAAAAUAUAUUUUCAUUUUACCUUUAGUUCAUGAACGUGUCUGGAAUUGUUCCCAGCUUACUUUAGCACCGCUGAAUAUUUAUAAUAAAAUGAAUUUAAUUGUGUAAACGUUCAGGGAAUGUAAAUACUUUGAAAGAUGAUUCAAUUAAGAGAAAUAAAGAUCCAUUGUCAACAUGGUAUCAGAGAAAUCUGUUGUCAGCAUUGUCAGCAUUGUCAGCAUGGUAUCAAUUCUCUGUGAAUAAGCGUGAUCCCAAUUAAUCGAAAAGAAUGCUUUCAAUAAGAGUAAUCUGUUGUAUUUGGUGCACAAAAUUUAGUUCGAGUUCUCAAUAGGUUUGGAUCAUUAAUUGCUUUGUUCCUGCUUCGGAAUUUCAUGACAAUAAUGUACAAGGAGACAGUUGGCAAUUGGGAAAUAGUUGUCAUACUCAUUAUCCUGAUCAUCUUUGGACUGAAUUCUACUUAUAUGUCUAUUGCUUUUCUGACCUAGAGUUCCACAUAAUUAUUCUGCUUGAUUUGUCCUGGCUAAAAAUAAAACUUAAUAAAAACAGAAAUCAGUUCAAAAUAUUUAUGUUAUCUGAAGUCCAUUCACGUCGUCAAUUACCGUGUACAUUCACGUUGACCAAUUGAAAGUGAUCAAUCUCAAAGCUUCCUGAGGAAAAAAUAUGAUAGUAAAAUUAUAUAUCCACGGAUGAUUCAUUUUUUUGUUACUACCGGUAUGUUCAAUAGAAUUAAUUUUCGAUUUUUCUCAUGCCUAUUAUCUUUCAGGUAACUGGUGAAUUAGGUGCUGCCAGAGAGGUUUUUAUCAAAGGGAUAUCAAGGGCACCUCACUGCAAAUCACUUUUUGAGGUUAUAUCAUUGAUCUCUUUUUGUGUCAAUUAAAUUCGAUUCCUGGCCCCCGUUUCUCUCGUCAACAAACGUUUUUCUCCAAAGGAUUUAACAGUCUGGUAUCAAAAGCAGGGGUGUUAUGAAAUGCAUGCUGUUCAAUAGAAGGCUACUUUAAAGUAUUUUGAAGUGUAUAUAUUUAAUUAAAAAAUUGUAUGUAAAAUCUGCAUUUCGAAUUUUUUUAAUGGUUAUAUUUUUUCAAAAAUCAUAUAUUAAAUUACCGCAGUUAUGCUUUUAAACUUUUAGUUUGAAUUUUCCUUGUUCUCAAAAUAUUAAGUCCCUAAGAAAUUACAUGUGUGUGCUUGUUAAAGAAGGAAUAGCCAUGCUAAUUGCAAGAGGGGCAAGGACGAAGAAGAGGAAGGAAAGGAAGUUAAACGAAAAACGAUCAAAACAUGACAAAACAGCAAAAGGGCACCUUUACGAAUCAUAUUUUUUGCCCUUUUAAGGGCAGUCAGUUCCUAUGUUUCUGUUCUUAUUAUAUGAUUGAUUAUUCUGUUAUGAUCUUUCUCCAGCAUUUAAUUUUUCUCCGAAGUACUUUGACUGGCAACUAGAUUAGGAAAUCUACAGCUUUACGGUUCUUAAAGUCAUAGUUACAUGAAUUUUUGGUGCUCUCUGCUCGUAAUCGGGCCAUCAAGUUCUUUACUAUUUUUUUACUUGUACAGGGAUUAAUUACAUUUAUGUCUAUCCAUGGGGGGACAGGAGAAAUUGGUUAUGUAGAUUCUAUUGUGGAACGUGCCAUAGUUCCAGAAUCAGGUGUGUCACUUGCAUUAAGCCUUACCGACAGAAGGGACGUGUCUAAUUUGUUUUUGCAGGUAUGCCAUCCUAUGCCAUUUGUAUUAUUCUGCCCUUUCUGUUUCAAGGAAAAUAGCCACUUCCCAUAAUACCUCACUAAAAAUGAAUCGUUUGCUGGGGUGGGGCCAUAUAAAGUAAGCAAAGCAGAGCUUUCUUCUUCCAGUUUCCAACGCACCAUGUGACGCUAGGGGUACUUAUAAUGCCAGAUAUCUCUGCAAUAUUUUUCAGUCGAUUUUGGAUUACCUAGUGAAGGUUUGAUUAAAAUCUUUGCGCCGCAGUGUCACUAAACAUGAAUUCUCAGAGGAUGCAGCAGCCAUUAAGACUUUCGUUUAAGAAUUUAGGGUUUUGUGAUUAAGAUUUGGGCUUUUCAAAGUUGAUGCUGGAUUUGCCGUGGAUCUGUCCUAUGAAGUUAAUGAUCCACUGUUAGACAGUUUCUACAGAAUUCAUCUCAAUUGAUAAAGCUGUGCUAGUUGGGCUAGUGAUUCUAUUUCUGUGCAUCUUGGAAUCAUUUUACUUUUUAUGAGGGCGUCAUCUUCUCCAGUACAGAAACUAUAGUGUGAUUUGUGGGUCAGCAAAAUAUUGCACAGCGAAUAACGUUGCACAGUGACCAACCUUAGGCCGGUAUGGGCACGCAGAAAUGGAGGGGCUGUUGAUCUGAUGGCAUGAUAUUAUAGUUACCCGCCUCGGCCUUAAGCUUCAUAAUUGAUGUUGAUGUGUGCCAUAUAUACAUGGGUUUAUUAUUAUUAUUAUUAUUAUUAGUUCACCCUUUAUCACAGGAUCUGAUUCACUGACAUUCAGCCUUGUGGGUAGCGAAUCGCCGUCAUUGUCCAGGUGACUAUGUGUAGAUAUUUUAGUGUAAUUUUCUCAUAGAGAGUUAUUUUCCAAACAGUUUGUGGACCUUUGUGGGACGAUCCACGAGAUCAGAAGGGCCUGGGCUCGACACCUGAAGCUGUUUCCACCUGCACAAGAAGCUGCUCCACUCGGUCGCCGUGCCGACGGUCCUGAGCUUUUGGAGAAGACCAAGGAGCUGACUGGUGCAGGAGACCCCGAUCUUAAGCCUGGGACAGGUCAUGCAGAUAGAGAGGCAUCAACUGAAGAAGAUGAUGCCCGCUCUUCAAAGAGAAAUCUUCUCCUCCUGCAGGAGGGGCCCGCUGCACCGGCCACCAAGUCUCAUCCAGCCGUCGCUGGUGACAGUACAGAGGGGAGCCCAGACCGUUCGCGGCUCCCCAGUGAAGAAGAGGAGCAGGCUAAUCGUUUUCAGGCUAUUCGGCUGCCUGCAGGCGCCGCUGUGCUGCAACAGGAAGCUCAUUCCUUCUCUUCUCUUGGUCCUGCUGCUUGCUCCGUACGCGGCGGAGGGGAGCGAACCCCACCGCUGCCGGGCUGCAAGACUCAGGACGAUCUAAGACCAUCUCUGGAGAGCCUUUCCAUAUGUCUUCCUGAUGAAGGUCAGGAAUCCAGCCCGAGCUCUCCUCGCAGAGGCCAUGGAGCUCCUCAGCCCCCCUGUGGGGAGAGCGGGCGCGAUGUUUGCAGUGACAGUGAGGCUAAAACAGCCCAACACAGGGCAUCUACAAUGCCAGCUACACCGAACAGUCGCACGCCGGAGCAAAAUCUUCGCCAAGAAAAAGUAAACGCCUUUGACAUAAGCCAACUGCCUGCAGAAGAGGCCGCUGAUCCCAAAUAUCCUCGGACCUCUGAAUGGCACUAUGGCGGGCAGCCCUCUGAGCUUCAACCCAGCUUAUCUGGAUAUGCCCAAACUCCACAGCAUCAGCAAUGGCAGGUUCCUAUGCAAUUUCAGUAUCUUCCGUACUCUGGAUUUAAUCCACAAGCUCCCCCACCUCAGGCAUACGCGUAUCAGCCACAGUUUUGGCAGCCAAAUAUCCAAAUGCCCGGCCAGAUUCAGGGCCAGUAUCAGAUGACUGCGGGCCAGGGAUUACCUCCCUGGCCCAUGUUCUGGCAAGCACAGAGUCUACCACAGAGCGGUGGAGAUGGAAGUCAGCAUCAAAUAUAUCAAUAUCAUUUGCAGGAUGGCCACGCUAUCUCCCCUGAGUUCUGGCAUUACUACCAGCAGCAGCUGUAUUAUAUGCAGCAUCUGCAGCAAGGUAGCAUCCAGGUGCAGCAGAAGCAGGAGCCUGGCCCGCAGCAGAAAAACGCUCCGUUGCAGCAUGAUCCUCUGCGACAGCAACAACAAGAGGAGCAACAUCAAGAGCAGCAUCUUCAGCUGAACAUCCUUCAGCUGCGGCAUCUACAAAAAAAAAUGGAAAUGGAUCAUUUGCAGUGGCAGGGCCAGCAACAGGAGCUUCGCCAAGCCCAGGAUUCGCAUUUGCAGCAUCAUUCACAGCCACGAUGCCAACCAGACGACUCACCUGAGUCUUCACCCACGCAGGAUCCUCCAAAAACACGACAAGACCAGCUAGAGCAGUAUGUGCAGCACCAAUCCAUUCAGCAGAAGGAUCGGAUGAUCCUGAGCCGCCAGGAACAUCAACAGCAGAUGUACUUGCCACAGCUGCAACAACAACUGCAGAAGCAGGAGAUCGGGACCUUGCGGGAUGCUAAGACCUCGAGAGAGAGUUACAAUUUAGAGGUAUCUAUCACCUGUCUUGUCUUCGUGCUAUAUUGCAGCCGAGUCUUGGAAUCAGUUUCGAAAAUUUUGACCUAAUUCCCGACGUAAAAAUCUUCUUAGGAUAUUGAAUGCUCUCUUCUCCUGAUAUAAUGUCCUAGCUUCUUCGAUUGAGUAUCAGCUGUAUGCUUCUGUGAAUUCAAAAAAGAUUACAUCACCGGCGCAUGAAUAGAAACUAAUUGGGCCAUGUUGCUCUUCAGAUUCAAGCACCCACUCGAGUUGCCGAAGAAGACGGCGCUGUUCAUCCAAUACCUGAGCCGCCGAAUGCCCCGAUCCAAUGACCCGCAGGUGGGAGAGCAGCUUUGCAUUGGCUUCAUUUGUUACAGUGAGGUCCGCAUCCGGCCUUCGUUGCCCAAGUUCAGACCUCUGGUCCGCGGAUCGUCCGUCAUCCAGCAGAUAACUCGCGAUUUGAAGGCCAUUCUGAAUCUGGCAGAAGCAGCGUCGCCGUUCGAAGCCGCUGAAGCAAUCUCCAAGCCCGCGCCGAGGAAGAGCAGCCGAGCUUCUCCGAGAAAGGGGGCUCAUCGGGCUUCGUCUUCUGGCAGAGCUCCUCCCGAGUUCCCUCUUUCUUUUACUCGGACGACUGAACUGGACCCCGCGGCCCUCAAAUCCCCUAUAAUUGUUGGAUCGACCCCCCUCGCGGGGAUGGAAACGCAAUGAUCUUCGAUGCGAGGGGCUUUCCUGCAAGGAAGACCCGAAGAGCGACCCGGAUGGGAAUAGUCAACGCUCGCAGGGCCCCCGAUUAUCUCUCUCCGCGCCCCCCCCUUUGACUAUCUCCACACACUCCGAGGAACGGCGCCUCCCGGCGGAAUCCUGCGGCAGAUUCUCUCCCUCCCUACUCCGGUCCGGCCCGUUGAAGAAGAGGAAGGGUCGUCCCCAUCGAUCCCCACUCAGCAGAUCCGAAUAUGCCGAGGAAUGCUCUCUCUCUCUCUCUCUCGCGCGCGCGCGCGCGCGCUCGCUCGCUCGCUAGCACUGCGUCGGCGAGUCGACCCCGUCCUCCGGCCGGCUGCACAUUGAACACCCGCGGCAUAUCCCCGGGCAUAUUCCCGGGGGAGCCCCAGCCGGUCCUGCUGCUGCUCCUCCCCCCAACUUGCUCUUUGAAGACGACGCCGUGCCGUACUGUGCCGUGGGAGCAGCCAAUGCGGGGGGGGGGGAGGGCCAUUUAGGAUCGAUCCCCUCCUCUCUGACGACGGCGGCGCCCUCGUCCGAGCUCGCCUAGGGCGCGGGGUUCUUCCGGCUGGCUGGUCGAGGCGGCGGAGGAUGAAGUUCGGGAAGCGGCUAAAGCGGCAGAUCGAGGAGACGCUGCCGGGGUGGCGGGACAUGUUCCUCUCGUACAAGGAUCUGAAGAGGCAGGUCCGCCUCAUCUCCUCCGACGCGCCGGGGAGGGCGUUUUCAUCGCCGCCGGGGAGGGCGGCGGUGUUGGAGUUCGUCCGCAUGCUGAAUGCCGAGGUGCACAAGCUCAACGUCUUCUUCAUCGAGCAGGAGGAGGACUUCGUCAUCCGCCACAAGGUAGGGGAGGAGAAGAGAUUGCUGGACGGCGGCCGCGGUGCUUCCUUCUCCUGAUCCGGAUCGGUGGUCUCUCCGCGCAGGAGCUGAGAGACAGGAUACGCGCCGCGGAGGAGACGGUGGGGCCUGGGAGCGCACGGCCGUCGGCGGCGGAGUACGCGGCGGAGAUGGGGAGGAUCAGGAGGGGCCUCGUCGACCUCCACGGGGAGAUGGUUCUGCUCGUGAACUACAGCAACGUCAACUACACGGGUCCUCUUCCUCUCUGAUCCUCGUCAACAUAUCUCAGAUCCUUUAGAUUCUUUCCUCGCUCGUUCUCCAAGUUUUUCUAGCAGAAUUGGCAAUUAUCGUCGGCGAUGAUGAGGAAUCAAUCGAAUCUACCCUGGCCGCGACAGGGCUGGCGAAGAUCCUGAAGAAGUACGACAAGCGGACCGGGGAUCUGCUGAGGCUCCCGUUCAUCGAGAAGGUGCUGACGCAGCCCUUCUUCACCACGGACCUCAUUUCGAAGCUGGUGAAGGACUGCGAGAGCACCAUGGACUCGGUGCUCCCUUCCCCGCCGCAGAAGAACCUGGAGGGGAGGGAGCGCAGAGCCAGAGCAGUGGCCCUCCCGCAUCGGCGGCCCGCCGGAGUAUCGUCAGGAACACGGUCGCCGCCCUCGUGACGAUGCAGGAGCUGCGGCGAGGGAGCUCCACUUACGGGCACUUCUCCCUCCCCCCGCUGAGCUUCCCCGAGACAGAUCUGCUGCAGGCCCUUCAGCUCCCAUCGCUCAUCUCCAUUCAGUGAGUGAGAUCCAUGAAGAAGCGACCCAUUUUAGCAGACACCCCCCCCCCCCUUCUGGUUCCAGACGACGGGGCGUGACGGAGGAAAAUCAGGGUCGCCCGGAGAAAGGAGAGGCCUUGUUAUCGACAGUCAGUAGUUCUUCUUUCGACGUGCUCGUCGCGGGAUGGGGGCUCUGAAUCGCCUCCCCCUUUGCUCCCCAUUAACGCGCUGGUUACUGGAAGAAGAAGACCUCCCUCGGUUGCUGGUAGCCGUGUUGCAACUAAUUAAAUGAAUAUUAUUUUUAUUCCGAUAUCUUUCAAAUCUAGAUAUUUUCCGAAUAUUUUCAAAUCUAGAUAUCUUUCCUCCAUUUUAUUAAAACUUGUUUAUUUUUUAACUGGAAGAUGGGUUUUUUUUAUUCUGCGAGAUAAGCGCCCACUUUUUAUACUUUCUUUGAUUGUGAGCCUUCACGAGUACUGGUGGCUGGCGCUUGAGAACCUCCAACUUGACAUGGUCAACAGUCAAGGUUAGGCGCGUGCAUGGAUGAAACCACAAAAACGGGUCCAAACUAGAUGACGUUCGUCCACCUGUCGCUUCCACAUACGCGUAUGGGUAAGUUGACCCAAGAGAGAGAGAGAUGGUGACGUCACUUCGAAGUUGAGUAGGCUGCAAGUCAUAGCAUCCACAAAAGGUAGCUACUCAAUAAAGGUCGGAAUCGUCAAAGUGGUGCAAGCAUGUUGUGGGUUUUGCUUCUAUCAGAAUUCAUGUAUCUUUUUUGUAGUUUCAAGAAGAAGGAAAAAAGUUGCAUCUUUUGCAGCCUAAAGGGUAGAACAAGCCCAACCCAUGUUGCCAAUUUUCGUACAAUUGAUAUUUUCAAUAUAUUUUUUUAUUGAAUUUUAGGUCGUCUAACUACAUAGUGGUUUCCCAUCCCAUGUUGAAGAUUAAUCUUUUGUUAAAAAAUAAAAUGGCUAGCAAAAUAUUUUGCAUUAAUCAUAGGAAACCAAGAAGUCAACUAAAUUAGUUUCAUUAACUUUUUCAUUGAAUGCAUGUUGGGCUUAUUGAGGCCAAAAAGAAAGAGGGUAGGGCUAUUUAAUAUUCGGCUUUCAGAUGGGUAAAGUUGGAAAUAAAUUAGAUGUAACAAAUAAGGAACAUUAUAAUUUAGGUAAAGUGGGCUCCCUAUCGACAAUCAAGGUGAUAACACAAGUGUUGCUCAUAAUCUAUAUUGGUUCCUGUUUUAUUUCCCCACUCAACUCUUUACAAAUGUUUUGUCCUAGCUCAACAUUGUUAGGAACUCUUUACUUAAAGCCGCUGGUUGCCACUAAGAGAUUUUUACCUCUGUAGAGAAGAUAGUCUAUGAAAAAAAGCUAAGUUGAACCCUCAAGCAUUAGUUCCAAACCUUCAUUUUAGUUUGACGUAUUAACAUAGAAUAUAAGUUGUUGUGUUAGCUUCAGCACCCAAAAGCAUUAUUCAAUGAGAACUGAUUUGGAGAACCAUUUACUUGUCAUUGUUAAGGUUCAUAAUUCUCCUCAAAGCAUUAUACAACCUAGAUUGAGCUUUACAUAAUUACCUAUUGACUGUUUCUUCUCUCAUAUAUUCUGAAUUUUAAAGUUCCUCCUAUGAAAACCUCACUAUAUUUCAUUAACAACUUUCUGUUGUACAACCAUUCUAUUGAUAUCUUCUAAUCUUGGUCAUUGUCUAUUCAUGAUGUCAAAGCAUAGACAUACUUAUACUAUCAUCAAAAGUGUGGCUUAGUAUACUCCCAUAUUGUAUAAUGCCAUCUUACACUCUAUAAUGCCAUCUUAAAAAAUAUGGAAUCAAAGGUGUGGCUUAGUAUACUCCCAUAUUGGUGGAGGAUCUUUUUAUAAUUCUCAUAUGUUAAAAUUUAGAAUAAACUUCUCAUAAGUUAAAGCAAUGACAUUAAUACACUCUUUCAACUAUAAAAGCACAAAAAAACAUUUUUCUAUCACUCUUUUUUCAUCAACAAAAUUUAUUUGGGUCUCAAAACCUCAAUAAUAUAGUGUCAUAUUUGAAGUCAAUAUCUAUUACACAAUCUUAUAGGGUUAAGAUUUUUAAAAUAAUUGCAAUAUCAAUUCCAUAUUUUUUUAUAGAAAUUAAGGAAUAAUGAUUUUAUAGAAGGAACAGUCUAUUAGAAAUCUUUAAAACUCACAUAAUAAUGGUACUCAGUUUUAAAGUUAACUUAAUUAUACAACAUUGGAAUUGCAAGGAGAUGAAAAAUUAGCAACUAGAAAUCUCAAAAUUUCUAGGUAAAGGAAGAACCAUCAAACAAUAUUAUUGCUUAAUACUAUACCAUUAUCUCAUACAUCAAUAAAACUUUUUCAAAGAAAAUUGAAGCCUUAUCAGUUAUUUCUUAUCAAUUUAUUUUUUAAUAAAAAUAUUUAUUAUUUAAUGUAAGUUAAAAUUUUAUUUUUUAAAUUAUUUGUGUUUGUUCUACUCAUUUUGAAUGAAAUUAAAAUUCACUUUUUCUUGGUUGUAUAAAUAAUAAGAAGUAAAGCCUCUAUUGGUUCUUAUGGAGGAUAGGGAGAAUACAAGGAGGUAGGAGUAAAUUAUUUCUUUAAAUUAUUUUCAAAUUUUGGUAUUUAAUUAUUUCUUUUAGUUCUACAUUAGGUGAUUUGGCACAUACUCAAGUUAAGUCAAUGUAGACUAACUUGGAUCGACAUAAUAUUGAGGUAAUUGUUGAGUUAAUGAUUUUGAUGUUCACAACUAAUCAUGAAAAGAAAGAAGAAUUAUUUUACUAUGCUGGUGUAUAGAUCAAGAUCGAAAUCAUUACAUCUAGUCAUUUAUAUUUUUAAAAUAUAAUUUUCUAGAUAUACUAUUACUACAUUAAUGUUGUGGAUCAAGAUCUAAAUCAUUAUAUCUAGUCCUUUAUUAUUGUUAAAAUAUAUCUUAAGAAAAUAGAUAUCAACUACCACAUAACUGAGAAGAAAAAUAAAUCAGAUUACAAAAAAAUUAGAAAGAAAAAGAGGAGAGAAAAAAGUUUCUACUCACAAAUCUGUGUCAGCCAUCAAGAAAUGAAAAAGAAAUAGACACUAGGCUGACUUAGAAAACCUUGUGUCAACUCAAGUAGAAUUGGGAAAGAGAGGUGAUUCUUGAGCCAAAAAUAUUUGUGGACAGAUUCAAAAUUGAGGAAUAAAAUGAAAGUUUUCAGACCUAAAAAAGCCUAUGUUGACUCAUCCAAAAUUGAGGAAGAGAAAUACAGUAUCAAGUCAUAAAUGCAUGUGUCAAUCCAUUAAUAGAUGUCCCAUCCCAUCCAAAACCAAAAAGAGAGGAAGUGUGUAAAACAUGUCCUAAGCAAGAAAAGUUAAGCCAUUCAACCUAAAGGAAAAGAAGAUUUGACUCACAUAAAAUGCAUUUUGACAUAUCAAAAGAUCAAAGAGUUCAAAAAGUUGGUCAGCAAGUUGGACAAACUAACUUUCGUGUAGUCUUACUAGUGGGUCAAUGCAAGUUUUGACCUAGGUAAUUUUUGAUCAAUCAAAUCGUAGAUGUUGGGAUUGUAUAAAUAAACCUUCACAUGAUCUUUCAAACUUAAACUUAACAAUUUCUCAAUUUCACCAUAAAUUCAGAAAUUAUUCUUAAAACUUUUACCAAAAGUGCAUCAUUAUCAAGGUUUUGUCAAGUGUUUAAUCAUUAGCAACAUCAAGUAGGCCCAUUCUCUUAGAAUUUGUAUUGAAAUAUAACUUCUCUAAGCAUAAAUUUAUAUGAGAAGCACUUUUGUCUUUCCAAUGAGAAAAUUCAGAAAUUUGAGUAUUAAUUCAUUCAAAAAUUACGUAAAUUAGAAUUAGGAAAAGGACUGCUCAAUCUAAAACUAGAUGAGGAUUUUCAUUGUGGCAUGUAGUAGACCGAAACACAUUAGGACAAGUUAUUAACCAGAGUAUAUGGUCAAAACUAGGAAACCUUUGGAAUUGUUGUAAAUGGAUUUCUUUAGUCCAACUAAGGCAUAAGUCUUAGUAGAAAAAUAUUUGGGUAUGCAAUCAUUCAUGAUUUUUAUAAAUUUACAAGGGUAAUUUUCUAAAAAGAAGCAUAAUUAACUCAAGGCAUUUAAGAAAUUUAACCAAAAAUAAUAAUAAUGAAAAUAAAUUGAAGAAUAAAAUUAGACAUGAUCAUGAAUGACAAUUUAAAAGUUUAAAUUAUUGGGAAAAAAAUUGGUAAUCAAAGAAAACCCCAUGAAUUUUCUAGUACACCUCAACAAAAUGGUAUUAUGGCUUACCACUAUCCUAAAUAAUUUUCUACUGAGGAGAUAAAUGGUCUAUUAUAUCAUGAAUAGAAUUGUGAUUGAGCCCCUAGUCAAGACAAUUUUUUUGUGAAUUCUAUUAAGGAAAGAAACAAAAUAAUAGUUACUUUUACUUUUUAGAUGCAAAUUCUUUACUUUGAGGACAUAGAAAAUUUUGAUUCUAGAAGUAAUGAAAAAACUAGAGUAUUGUGAAAAUUCACUUUUACAGUUUACAAUAAAUUAUAGGUUAGGAAACAACAAUUAAGAAUUUUAUAAAAGAAAUAGAAAAAAUUUUAGUUCAGGAUGAUGUGGAAUUAUUUGAAACUAAGGUUUAAGAUAUUCAAUUAGUGAUGAUGUGAUGCUCUCCGAACUAUAGGAAAAUAUAGAAAAGGAGAGGUUUUUAAGAGAAGGAAACUAUGUCAAGAUUCAUACAAUUAAUCAAAUUUUAGGGGAUUUUAAGAAAGGACUCUAAACUAGAUCAAGAUUUAAAAUUAAAAUAAUUGUGCAUUGAUUUCUAAAAUUUAGCCAAAAAAUGUUGAGUAAGCUUUAGAGAGUGAGAAUUAGAUUUGAUCACAAAAAAAGAGUUUAAUCAUUUUAGGUUGGUAAUAUUUGAACCUCACUCUCUAGGAUAUUCAAUAUGCUUGUCAUAGGAACAAAUUGGACUGUCAAAGAUACACCAACUUCACAUAAAUCUCGAAUAUGGAAUCUAAAAGCUAAUAUGUGUGUGUUUUACGUGGAUCAAACGAUGGCCCAAGCGUCGUUGGAUUGAUUUGAUGUCAAUAAUAAAGUUGCUUAUCCAUAAGAGAAGAAAAUGCAUUUCAAAUUUCAAAUCAGAUAGACAAAAGAAUGAAAUUUUUUGAAUCAAAAAAUAUAAAAAGUUGUUACCUACAUAUUCUAAAAAAUGGAAAUAUUUAGAAUUAAUUUUUUAAUAUCUAAUGACAGAGUCAAAGAAAGAAACCACUAGAGGAUGACACUUAUAACAAAAAAGAGGGUUUAGAAAAAAAGAACAUAUCUCUACAACAAUUUACAAUGUAUAUCUUUCAAAUUUCAUUCAUUAUGAACUUUAAUGAAGGACAUAAUAUUACACUUGAUCUUCUUAUGAUAUAAUGCUACAUUCAAUCUUCUUAUGACAUCAAUUUUAAAGAUUUAUACUCUCCAUCAGGCCCUAAGGUAAUUAUGUGACAAGGGCAGAGACAUUUAGGCAAAGGCAUAAAAUAUUUGUAGUCAUUUUUUGUCCUAAAAAAUUGUGGUACCUAAAGAGACUGAAUUAAAGUGGUUAAAAGGUUAAGUCCUUAAAUGAUAGUAUAUAUUUCCUAAAUAAAGUAGUGAAAUAUGAUAUAAAGGAUCUUGUGAAAUUGAAAGUAGUUAAGUGAGUAAUGAACUAGUAUAAAAAUUCUGAUUUUAUAAGUGAGAAAGAAGAAUCGUGAGAAUACCACAUAGAGAAAGAGAAAAUAUACAUAGAAGAAAAAAGAGAUGUUAGAGAACCCAUGUCAACAUAUUUAUCAAUAACGAAAAGGCACAAAUCAACAAAAAUCUAUAAACACUCAAUUCAACCCUCUCUUUUUGUAUUUCAUCUAUCAUGUUACUUUUUAUAAAUAAAGGAUCAAUUUAUUAGAAAUUUCAAGUCAUACUUUUCCCCUAAUUACACAUUUGAAUGAUUAAAUAUAAACAUGACAUCUUUUAAGGGCUUAGAUAUCAUUUUUUUUACUCCAAUAAUACAAUAAUUACACUGCUAACAUAUAUUUGAAGGUAUUAGUUUAUGCAUACUUGUAAGAGUCUUCACAUCAGCAUUCAACAUCAAUAAAUUACCAAAUUUUAAUACUUCUAGCGGAAUAGAUUAAUGAUUCAAAUAGUAUUCAAAGUAUCAUUAAUUUAAUUCCAAAGAAAUUGAUCAAAUCAUGAAUGGAAAAUAUUCAAAGUAUUUUUUUAAUUAAUAGACAUCAAGUAUAAUAUUUUAACUUUCAUCUCAAUACGUUACUUCAAUCAUUUGAAAAUUCUUAGAUGACUAGAUUAUGACUUUUUGGUAUCAUUUUAGUAAUUUUCAUCAAGUACAAUGAUGCUAAGGGAAGUAAUGAUUCCUAGUCAAUUUUCAAUCAUUAUAUUGUAUUUCAACUCAUGCAUGUCAAACAUAAUCAUUGAAAUAUCAUCUUAAUACUUAAUACAACUAAAAUCUAUUACAAAUAAUUUUAAAGUCAAUAUCAUUGAAUCAUAUGCCUAGUUCUUGCAGAAAGGAUAUGUUUUAGAAUUAUAAUCACAAUUUCUUUAAUUAUUUUUGUAUGCAUGUUUUUCCUUAUCAAAAAUUUUUUGAGACAAUUAAGACUCCUAAAUUAAAUAGAAUCCAUAAUAAUCAAAAUGGCGUGUUUUUGAGUAGUUGCUUGAACUAAAAAGCAAAGAUAAAUCUUAAAAGAGAAUGAAAAUUGAAUUAUUAUCAUCCUCCUUAAAUGUUAUAACAUAUUGGCCUUUAAAUAGUCUUUUGUCAAUUUUUAUUCUCUUAAAAAAUCUGAUUGAUGAACGAAUUUACAUUAAAUCAAAAUACUAUGAAACAUACUUUCUAAUAAUAUAGAUAUGGCAUUGUAUCCAUGCAGACUUUUAUUGGCUUAUUUUAAUUUGAACUUAAACUCAUUUAAUGACUUUCAACCUAUGCAAUCCAUAUUUUACUAUGGAGUCACAUGUACCACAUUAGAAAGUGCAUUUGAUUGCAUAGUUAACAUCUUUGAUAUGAUGAAUGACAAUUCAGUGCUAAUCAAAAUCAAAAAAUUUACCCAUAUCUACCAACUUAUCCUCAUGGUUCUUCUGAAUAUUCUACUUCUGCAAAAAAGAUAGUGAUUAAUUGACACUUACUAACUUAAUUUUACUAUGGAGCAUGAAAAAAUUUUUCUUCCUAAGUUCAUCAUUGCUAUCAUGAUGAAAACUCUCAGCCUUUUACACACUCACAACUUGUUUUAUAAGUUACUAUUUCCUUGAUCUACAUAGAAAAUCAAAAAUCUGGUCACAAAUACUGACUUUAGAUUGAAACUUGAUUGAUCACGUUGCCCAAUUUAUCUCACAAAGAUAUUCCUUCUGCUAGUCUACUUAAGCACUUUGUCAUUGAGCAUCUAUCAUUUUACCUAACCUAUGUCCAAUGCUGGCUUCACAAAGCUCUUAAAUGUUAAUGAUUAAAUCAAAGAUUAGGCAAAAGCUUUUGCCAAUAAUGUGAUGGACAUUAAGCAGUGAUUAAUUCUAGAAUUUUCUUUUUUUUUAAUAAAAAAUGAUGGAGAGGUUAUGCAUCUUGAGGGGAUCAAGCAUGUAUCAAGAAACUUUGUUUCUUUAUGACUGUUUGAUGUUUUCAUGUAUGGACCAAUUGUCUAAACUUCUGAAUUGUUGAUGUAAAAUUGUAUUCCCCUUUUCUUAAUUUAUCUUCUUUUGUUGUGAUUCCUAUGGUGUGUACUAAUUGUUGUACCUAGGAGUAGCAAUCCAAUCAUUGUGAGAAAAUUGGUGUGGUUGCUGAGAAUUCAUAAUAUUCAAAAAUCAUUGACAACCCAAAAGGAUGAAAUAUGACUAAUGGACUAAGUGAGAAAAAAAAUUAUACAGGGGAAAAUGGACUGAAAAUAUUAGUUGAAUUGUUUUUUGAUGUGCCAACAAGGGGACAUAAUGAACUAAAUAGUGAAAUGAAAAUACUGUUCUCAUUCAAUAAAAUUAGAAUAAAGAACUGAAAUGUGGAAUGAAACUUAUUUUCGUGCUUGAUGUGAGAAGCGAGAAUCAAGGUGAGUGGAUGAAAAUUAUCAUUGAGACAAGUGUUGAGAUUAUUCAGGUUUCAUUUCUUCCACUUGUUUGAACAUUUCCCCCAUAAAAUGGUGGAGAUUAUUCAUGUGAAUGAUAAUUUUAGGAUGUGAAAUCUGCGAAUUGCCUUAGUUUAACUAUCAAAAGGGCAAGGGUGGAAUCAGACAAAUGAUUUUUACAUUGGACCAUUGAGCCUCACAUAUGCUAGGAACUCAUGAAAAUUGUAAUUAAAAGUACUCAACGCAAUAAACAGUAAAUCAAGAAUUCAAAGAGUUCAAAUUGUCCUGAUUUUAUUUCCACUAAAGUGAAAAGUUAUUUCUAAAUUGUAUAAUUUAAUGUGAAAAAUAAUCUAUAUUUUAACUUGUGUUAAAGAAAGCAGGUCAAAUAAGGAAUCCAACAUAGCAGAUCUGAUGGUUUCGAAUUUUUAUGUAUUUUACAAGGUUUACCAACAUUUUCUUGCAUUAUCCGUCACAUGUGCAGUCCAAUACAGACCACUCAACUAAUUGUUGAGAUGCCUGUUCGGCCCAUUAAGCCCAGCAUAGAAAUAGGGCUUUCACCCAAAAAUGGGGCAUCAGGAAAGAUCAAAAGAUAGAGCACAGGAGUCUAUCUCUCUGCCCUCUUUCUGCUUACAGAAAUCUUCUAGAACCCAAGCUGCAAAUUCAAUGUCUCCAAGUUUCUGCAACUCCUGAUAGUUAUUUGCGGCUAAAUAUCUUUGAAAAGCUUCCUUACAAUCUUCUUCCUCAACAGCAAGAUUCAGCAUCCUAUUUGAAGGCAUGGGUAUGCCUCCGUAUUUCUUGAACUGCUAAUAAUUAUUUACCGCUAAAUAUCUUUGAAAAGCUUCCUCGCAUACUUCUUGCUCGACAGCAAGAUUCAACAUCCUAUUUAGAAAUAGGCGGUAGAAACAGCCUACUUCUGUUGGGUUUGAAUUUCUAAAGGCUCUCUAGGAUCACUUGUCUCAAGAUUUGGAGGCUAGAUAGAGCUUGAACAUCCAGAAAGGGGAGAAAACCCACAUGAAGAUAUAUCGUGCAAGGAAGAGAGUAUGAUCCCACAAAGCCGCCCCCACUUGAUCUGCUUAUUGGGCGAUAAAAAUAGAAUUUUCAUUCUCUUUGGGGGGCUCAUAUUUUAUUCUGGAUUCAAGCAACCAUUAUCAGUUCAAAGGACAACAUUUUGGAUCAUUGUGGAUUCAAGGAUCAUCAAAAUUAUUUAUUGUGGAUACAAGCCAAUGGGAUUUCGCAGUGAUUUACUUAUGUUGGUCCGUUGAACUUCAUCCCCCAAUUGACAGUUUUGUAUCCACUAAAUCAUGGUUGGUUUUUGAGGCAAGAGAUUUGUGUUUGGAGGUCAACAUCAAUCAGAAAGAAACGGUCGAGUGACGUGUCCUUGGCGAUUUCAUUAAAUGGACGAUAGAAAACACAGCUUUUGUUUGAGAUCUUCGUGAGAUUAUUCAUUCUGAUGUUCUUCAAAAUGUUUGGUUAGUGGGCUUUUUGGUAGCUACACAUGCAUCACUAUUGCCCACGUUCCUAAGAUUCCUGAGAGAUUCAGGCUCUUCUUCUUCAUGCGCCAUAAAUGGGAGGUUAACGAAUGCUGCAGCCUGGGCCCAGACUAGCCAGGGGAGUGCCAAUAGUGAUCACCGGCAGGAGGAAGAACAUUAACAGUUGAACAUCAAAGACGGGGGCGUAAAUGGGCAGGGAACAGUGGGGUGGAUAAAUGCGCUGCCACCUGUGGUCCAUGUGGACUACCACGUGGGUUUCCGAGCCGUUGUGAUGCUAUUUCCUUCAUUUAUUUCUUUAAGGGUCGUUAUUUCUCUAGGAGCUCAAGGCGACUCCCCGUGAGAAGAUGAUUUCUGUUCCAAUGGCUCUGCGAUGCGGGAACAGAUGACGAGGGGCGUCCUUCGAUUCAUUCGGCGAGAGAUCUCGACCGAUCACACUCGAACAGAAGUAAAAUGCCAUCCUUUUCAGGUACUAGAUACAAAAAAGAAGCUAAUUUUGCUCUUCUUCUGGGAAGAAAACAGAGACUCAGCUGUCUCCCCUCGUUGGUUUUCCCCAGGACAAGGGGGAAGUGAGCUGAAAACGCGCCUCCAGGACGAACACCAUGUACACGAUGAAGGAAUUGGGCAGGAGAACCCGCAGCCGGAGAGGGGAGAGGGAGAGAGGAGAGAGGAGAGAUUUCUGACCUUUCUCGUAUCCCUCGUCCUGUUCGUCGUGGUUGCUGGUUCUCGUCGUCGAGGGGGGUUUGCUUCGGACAACCCACCCUGGCUGAUCUUGUGUUGUGGUUUUCGAAGAAUUUGAAGAAAUGGAAGAGCAGGGAUCUGUCCACGGAAUGAAAAAACGGGACAUGUUCAGGGCUCCACGUCGUCCCAGCUGAGGUCCCCGCCGCCUCCGGUGACGACGAUGGCUGUGCCGUUGUUGAAGGCGGGGCACUGGUAGGACGGCCGAGAUCCGUCGCCGCCGGCGCUGGCGGGGCAUCCGGAGGGCCCCACGGGCAGCGGUGCCAUGCAGUUGUAGGAUAGGCAGACCGUCACCCCGUCCGGAAGGGGCGGCGAGACGGCGGCGCCGGCCACACCGCCGCCGGGAAUCGGAAGUGGAGAGUCGAGUCCGGAGAGGUAGUUGUGCUGAGCAUAGAGCGUCGUCAUGGUGCCCGCGUAGAGGCUGCGAACGAACUCCGACGGCAGGGUCCCCGUCAGACGGUUGUAGUUCACGAAGAGGCUGCCGGCCGCCGCCAGACCCCCCGGAAGGGGACCCGUCAGCUGAUUGUGGCUCAGGUCCACCGUCCACUUCGCGAUGGCUCCCGGCUCGACGGGCUCCGGUAUAGGGCCCGACAAGCUGUUCCGCUGCAGCAAGAGCACCGCCAAUGGCGGUGGCACCUCCUCCUCCGGGGGGCGCCGUGGAUUGAAGAGGGCACUGGGUACGGGACCGGAGAAGCCGUUCAUGGAAAGGUCGAGAAAAGCGAGGUCGGGAAAUGAGGCGUCGAGGGCUUCGAGGGGACCCGACAUUGCGUUGUUGGAGACGGAGAUGUAGUGGAGAGUGGCCGGGAGAGGGCGAGGAAGAGGUCCGGUGAGGUUGUUCUCGCGGAGGUCGAGAUGGAGGAGCGGGACGGCGACAGGGGGGAUUUCCCCGGAGAGACCGCCGUUGGCGGCGAGGAUUACGACCCGGAGGCUGGGUAGAGCGAGGAGGGCCGGGGGAAUGGCACCGGAGAGGCGAUUGUGGCUGAGAUCGAGCGUGUGGAGGCUGGGGAGAACCCCUAAGGAGGCCGGGAUGGGGCCGGAUAGAAGGUUUCCGCUCAAGGAAAGGAGGCGGAGCGAGGGCAGGCGGGCUCCGCCGAGCGCCUCGGGGAUGGGCCCGGAGACGCGGCCGGGGGAGAGGACGAGCUGGGUGAGAAGCGUGAGGUUGGCAAGGGAGGGUGGAAGCGUCCCGGCGAGGCCCGGAGAUCCUGCAGAACCGGCAGAUCCGAGGGUGAGAGACGUCACCCGGAGGGUCGCAUCGUCGUCGGCAGGGGAGCAGACGACGCCGGCGAAGGAGGAGCAGGCGUCGGAGGCGGCAGACGGUGAAUCCAAGCGCCACGAGGAGAAGAAGCCCGAGCCGGGGAGGUCGCGGAGGCUCUGUCUGAGGUCUAUGAGCACAUCAAGGUCCCCGCUGGUCAGACGAGCACCAAGAGCCAGCGUCUCCUGCGGCCGCUGCUGCGCGGUGGCCAACCAGGCCCCUCGCGAGACCAAGAUCACGGAGAGUAAGAGCGAGAGAAGGCUCGCCAUGGCAGCGUGAAGUCGCCCGCAGCGCGAUGGGGUCCGCGAGAGGAUUCUCUCUCCCACAGGAAGCCGGCGGAGAUGGGCGCGCGCGAGAAAUGUCGGCCAAAACAAAGGGCAGCCGCGCUCAGUCACAGGCUUUGUAAAGGCGCGUUCUUGCCAGCAGGUGUGGGGGCGGGUUGGCUCCCGUUGCCUAAUCCUCCUCUGCGUCACUAGCGUAGCAGCGCGGCCGCAAUGAUGGCUCUCACAGGGGGGAGGGGGGGUUUACGGUCGUCGUACAGCGGGACGAGGGGGCACGUGGUGGAAGUUGGACGGACGCCGAAUGGUCCUGCGCCGUUGCAUGUUUCCAUGUCCCUUCUGUUGCGUGACGACACGGCCAACUGGCCGAGAAAAGACAAGGCAUGCUUGCUUGCUUGCCUCGCCUCGAUUCCUUUGCCCGGGCCGACUCCCCGGCGGCUUGCACACGCGGCACGGGGGUUUCUGCUGCCCAGGUUAGGUUCCGCGCUUGGAGAAGAGGUGGGUGAACAGCGACACACAGAGGGGUGGAGGGGCCGGCCUUCCGGCCAGGGAAUGGAUGUCCCGGCAAGAACAGGGAGAAUCUGUGGAGCCGACGCCCGCCCGACGCGGGCUCGCCCGGCGCGCAAUGCUAGCAACUGCAGCAGGAAUUGGGGAACUAAGCCAGAACGGAGCUCGAGCUCCCUCCCGAGGGAGGUCUCGCCGGAAUUUCCAAGAGGGGAUCUUGGAAAGAACUCAAAUAUUGGAAGUCCCUUGGAGGCGGGGGGCCGGUCGCCGACAGGCCUUUUCGAACUCGCGCUUCAAAAUAUAUCAAAGUUGGAUUUGUUGGAACCGACUUGACGGUCUCAAGCUCUUUUCACUCCCUCGUCACUGCUACUGCAUAGAUUAUGCCGUGCUCCGUCCUUCCUUGACGGGGCCUCCCCUGCCCUCUUCCCUCCCCUCGACUGGCGAUGCACGGCUGCGCGCCGCCGGCCAUGGCAUCCUCCGAGCCCUUCCCUACCCGGCCAGCUCGGUGGAGAAGCGCCAUUUGCGGCGGCGUGUCUGGGCUUCUCCAGUAGUCAAGCCUGUUGGGGUUCAGCUUUGUUGGCUCUCGCUCGGACCAGGGUCAAACUGGGUCCGACUCCACCUAAUAUUUCACUCAAUAUUCUACUUCUAUGCAGAUGGGUUGGUGCGACCCAUCAUAAAUAAUUAACCCGCUUGCUCAAAUCUGCUCCUUGCGGAAGUCGAACCAGCCCGACCUUAAUAAAAUACGGCCGACCGAUCUGGUGAUAAAAUACGGCCGACCGAUCUUUACUAUUCUUAGGUGCAUAGUAGCAUGUGCUAACGGCCAUAUUCCACGGCUGCCUAGGCUGCUAACAUAUUGCUUUGUUCUUAGGCACAAAUCCUAACCCAGGUUUGAAGUAACGGAGACUGAUUUUAUUGUUUUACAUGCUCUGAGGGCAUUGGUCCAACGGUGGCUGGUAAUGACGCUCUAACAUACGCGAAGACAGAGAAACUUAGCAAGCUCUGUCUGGGAGGGGAAUCACUCCUGGAUGAUGAUUUGAGUGGGUUAAACUGUUCUUAAAAAAAAAAAUGGUAGAACGCAAUGAGAAAAUAUCGGCAGCAUCAAAUAAGUUUAAGGAAAAAUCGGAAAAGUUUUGCUAUAAUGGGUCCCAGAUAAGUGUAAACGUCAGAAAAGCUUUGGUAGUUUUGCCGACAGUCACCGCUGUUCAUCGAUUUGUACUCCAUUCAAGGUAAAACCGGAAAUGAAGAACAACGAUGCGAGCUGGUGAAUAAACUCUGUUAUGGUAUGAACCCCAACAUGGCUAUUAAAUGAGCAUUCUUAUUGAGGAUAAGAUAUCCUAUUAUUGAGGGCAGCCCCAACAUGGCUGUUAGCUCGAAUCAUUAACAAAAAUGUCGUGGAUGUCACUCCCCUGGUCCCGGUGAUAUUUAUGCCUGUCUCUCUCCCCACCAAAGUGUCUGGAACUUUUGGCAUAUGACAAUAGCUCGUGGGCCUGCCUAUCUCAUCUUUGGUUGGAUCACUCUCCGCAAUUCUCGCGGAAGGCUCUUCUUCUUCCUCGACGUCAGUAUACUCUCAUCUCUGCCAGACGGCUCUCCGAACACCGACAGCGGCGAUAAAUGCGAAUAGGGAGUUCUCAGCGCAUUGCUUGUUAAUACCCCAUGUGGGGUUAAAACGUUUGGAAGAACGCGGUUGUGUGAGUAACUCACAGUAGUGGUGCACUGACGAGAGGAGUUACUCGCCUGCAUGGAUCCUCAUCAUGUGGGCAUUUAAGCGCUGCCGCUGCUACUGCCAUCGUAAAGGACCUGACGGCAGGCCGCCGUUCAAGGGCUCCGACCAGUCGGUCGCCGAGCAUAGAUGCUGAGACGCGUAUUGUUUUCUGUACUUUGCCUGGAUGUGAAUUGUGGCCGUCACCGCAGAAGAAAAUUCGCCGUUUCAGCCUCCCAAGCCUGAAAACUUGACGGCGUACGUAAAGCGCCGCCGGUGGAUCAAGAAUGGAGCAAGUCUUAAAGGUCAACUGAGGAGUCAGCGUGGCUGUCAACGACAACGAGGCGAACGUUUGAAGGGGGUGAAGGGGGAGAAGGGGGGGACCUUGUUGAGUGAGCAGACAACCACAACGGUCUUCAUAUUAAAUGCCAUCACAUGAUCCGCUCUUGGCGCGAUGUAUGAACUUAUAGCCAUCAUUGCUUGCCGGUCACUCUCGCAAGUACCCCCCGGCACAAGAUCAGUCAGUCUUUCGGCUCUUCCCUUUCCCACCCUGCCGACAAGGGAGAUAAGGCCACGAACAUGCAUCAUGAAACUCUCUCUCUCUCUCUCUCUCUCUCUCUCUCUCUCUCUAUCGCUGGUAUCUAUUCAUCUUUAUCCCUGCAUCUCAUCUCAGUCCGAGUCUCCUCAAGGAAGGCCACACACAUCUCUCUCUUUCUCCCUUCAAAUCCCUCUCUCUCUAUCUAUACAGGUCAACGUGCCGACGCCGGCUUGUCUUCUACUCGUCAAGUGCGAGUUCAGAUGGGGAGGGGAUCUUAAUGAAACCUACAGAGUUCAGAACGCUUCGUGCUUCUUCGGGUUGCCUCUAAAUACUGGAGACAGCGACCUCAGUAAAUGCCAAAACGGUGUAGUAAUUGCACAAUGGAAGAGCCGAGCAGGGUCACUGCUCUUCUUCAUGUUGCUGACAACUGACGCGGGGUUCUCUUCGAUUUUUCUUCGUCUUCUUUCUUCGUAGCAUGACAUCACUCAUAAUGGUCGUCACCUCUCUCUCUCUCUCUCUCUGCCGUUUUUUCGUAGGCGGUGGUAUAAACCGUCAGUUGCUGAAGAGUUCCCUAAAAUAGGAUCAGAGUUGACUCGCACCGAAGUGUCUACGCCCACCUCAAAGCCUGAUAUCGUUGACUACAGAGAGUUUAACCAAGUAUAAGCCUGAAACUUCAGAAUUUUAGGUACGAUACCAACUGUCUCCCUACUGCUGCACUGCAGGCUUCCUGUUCGUCGACCCUACUCCAAAUUCGCAGCUGACAUGGCCCAGCUAAGACGCCUCGAAUACGGCAGGUAGUUUCGUACGGAGAGAGUACCUCUUACCAUUGCCAAUGGACUGAGUAGGCUCAUAGCUCAGCUUCGGACCGGACUUGGGUUUCUUCGUGCGCCAGGGUCUAGAAAAAUCAGGUCCUAGAAUAAGAGUAGGCUCUCCAAGGAACUGUAGGGGAGCCAUCAGCCUGCCUCCGCUUGCCCGACUCUAGAACGUGCUCUGUUGCCUAAGUGGAGACCCCCCCCGCCUCCUGCCGCGUAACCCGCGUUGUCUCCAACAUCGGCGGCUGAUAAUCCGCCUGCAUGGUGGGCUCUCCCAGGGAGGAGGAGGAGGGAAGGGGGGGAGACGCGUCGCGCAGAGUUUCACUUCAAUUCAAAAAAAUAAAUUUCAAGACUUGUGAAGAAAUUAAGGGGGGGUAGACUCGGAACGGUAAUGGUUUUGAACGGCUAAAUUGUAUUUAAUGUUCGCUAAUAAUCGAUUUCAUUCGUUCGCUGCGGCACAAGGCGAAAGAAGGGCUGGAAGCGUGAUGGACGCACGUAUCCGGGCCAUCGUCGACGCCAUCCACGCCAGCCCCUCCCAGGCUGUCAUCUACCUCGCCGGAGGUGCCUCUCAGGUGUGUCGGUCUCUCGUUCUCUGCUUCUUAGUUCCCCUCCCUGCCGCCGAUUCCCGACAACUGCAGAAUUCUGAAAAUGGCUGUUUUUUCGAUUGCUGCCUCCAGGCGCUCGGGUGGCUGCUGUCUGUUCCAGGAGCUUCUAACACCGUUCUCGAGGCUUUGGUUCCCUACUCCAAGACCUCCAUGUCCCAACUCCUCGGGAAGGUAACUCGUCGUCUCCUUCCCUAUGAAUAAUUUUCCCUAUUCGGCAUCUUCUUUCAUCUCGAACCCCGACAGCUUGUUUGCGUAUCCGUUUUAGUUUUCUCCUUUCGAUAUGUUCGGCCUGUUGUUCCAUAUUUAUCUGCCUCUUACCCGAGGAACAUUCAAACUCUGGAAUGUGGUGCGUCUGAUGGAAAGAUAAAAAGAAUCGUUUGUCCGACUACGUUUUGAUGGGGGAAAGUUUGUGAAUUAUUUAUUGAUUGAAUGUCUUGGGAUCGAACUCAACUAUAGCCUGAUAUGGCGAGAAUGUUUAUGCAACCCUGCCAAGUUUGAAUACACCUGAACCAUGUUUGGUUCCUUCGGAGUCAUUAGAUGCAACCUCUCGUUUGCAGGAGGAUGCUUUUUCCUUGAUCUUCUCAGUCUUAUUUUCUAUUAGUGGCUUCGAUCCAUUUCAAAGAGGUGGUCAUCUCAUGCAUCACAAACUUUAAGGUAUUUUGGUUAGGCAUCAGGCCUAGCUUUUCUCCCUAAACCGCCAUUGAUAGUCCACUCCAUUAGGAAAUGCAAAUCAGGCUGUGUCUUAUUGAUAUGGUGCAUCACUGGUUCCCUGGCCCAUUUUGUCUCACAAACAGCAUACAGUAAGUUUUAAACUAAAAUAGCAAAAAUAACGGACGAAUAUCUGAACAAGAAUAAAUUUCAAAGAGUGAAAACCUUACCAUAACCCGCAAUACAAACAGGGAGGAUGAAGAAAACAAAUGCUAUGGAAAACCUUACUACAUCAUCUUCUAAUUCUUUUUUAAACCAAGAAUAUUAAAAAAUUGCUUCUUUACUUGUUCUAUACUUUUAAUGUAUUAUUGAGUACCUCAGGUGGAUCCUAUCUCUGAAAACUGCAUUUAAGGUUUACAGUCUAGUCGUGUGCUACCUUAUAAUACUUGCUGGUUCACUUUAUUCAUAUGGGUUGGAUUUACAUCACUGAGGCACUCUUUGACUUAUGGAAGUUGUCCCUAGUAAAGCCCUAAACAUAGGUUCUUCUGAUCCAUAUCUCCUUCUUCACAAGUUUUGAUGUCUUAGCAAGGCCUGUGCAUAUAGUUUAAAAAUAUGUAUACUGAUAACUGGGUUAUGUUAUCACCAAACCAAUUUUAGAGCUCAGAAAAAGAGUUAUCUAAAAGUAAUAUGAAAGAUAUCUACCACUUUUGAGUUUAGAAUUCCUCUUUGUCACAUGACUGCAACAUUUUUUAUUAAAGAGGAUUGUUUUCUUCUAUCAAACCCAAGAAACGACAGAGAGCAUAAAAAAAAUGAAAGAGUAAAUAUGAAGAUUUCAUGUUAUUGCAUAUUUGAAAUCACACUUCUCUGUGUGGCUUAUAUCUUGAACUAAGCACAGAUUUCUGAUGUUAAAAGGAACUGCAUUAUUGUCUUGUUUUAGCAUAAGCCUUAAAAAUUCUCACAUUAUUGCGACCAUUUUGGUAUCUUAGCUCAGCUUAAUCACCUUUGUAGGAAGUACCCAGUUUCUUUAGGACAUGAUGAUUUGAUGCUAAACUAGGUCUAGUUUCUGUUCUUCUAAGAGGCUGGAAACAUAUAUAUUCUUGUACAAGGUGUUUCUAUUCCCGUGUGUUACUGCUGAGAAAUGAAGGCUAUCAAAUCCUGAGAGGACUGCUACAGAGAUCAACUAUGAAAAAUGUAUGAUCUAUUCAUGUACAAAGGCAGGUGUAUCUUCUUGGUUAAGAGUUCAGACAACAGUAUCUCCUAGGAUUAGGGUCAAUUAGGGGUAAUGAAAGGAUCUUAGAUUUAUGAAGAAACGACAACAAGAAAGAUCUGAUAUCUUUGCAUAAUCUUCUCAGUUAAUAUAAUAUAGCAGAGGUAAGGGAUGGUACUAAUGCUUUCCAAUCGACAGAUACUGUGUUUUCCUCAUUCAAUUUUAUUUGACGUCAGUACUUUUUGUCUUGUGGGAAUAUAUAGUUUAGCUAAUUGUAACCUGAAAUGAAUUUUCUUCUGUUGGGAGCUCACUGUUACAGAACUUCAUAGAAGUGACUAUCAGCUCAUGUACUGGAGCACUCCAUAGAACUGCUAGAUUUUAGACAAUAGGCAACAUGUUAUAAUGAUUGGAUCCCGCCUCAUCUCUUCACGAGGUUAAAUUGCACAACCAUGCUACCAGCAAGGUAGUCUACUCAACAUGUGAAUAGUGCAUAUUUUUAAAAAGGCUAUUUCUGGUCCAAAACUAUGUUGACUGAAAUUUUGGAACACUUUCUAUGGGGGCUCAUGUCAAACACCACGACAAAAGGAAAGCUUAUCCAUAGUCAUGGGACCAUCUAUUUUAUACAGGAAAACACAAGAUUCUGGGGGAAGACUCAAUAUGGUCAUGACAAUAGAUGAAAUAGUAUCAUUGCACUGGGGCGAUCUAUUUCAGUAUCUUUUCUGUAGUGUAUGUCAUAUAGUUUCAUUUUAGAUUAUUACUAAGUUACAUUACAAUGUGACCAUACUUUAGUUCACUUGCUGUUCAAGUUCUUGGUCAAGUAUUGUAACCUGCCAAUAGAAUUUACCCAUUCAAUUCAGUGGUCUGGGUCAGGUGAAGAUUGACUGUCUUGAUUGGACCAUAUGUUGUGGUGUAAUGUUUUCAUGUGAACUAUCAAAUAAUCCCCCUCUACAAUGGUCUUGGGUUUUUCUUCAUAUUGAAUCCCUCUGUAACCUCCCAUGUCCUCUAUAUGUUACAGGCCCGUUGGCAAAGCUUAUUGUACAAAUUAUCAUAUUAUUUCACCAGAAAAACACUGUUAAAAUGGCUGAAAUUGCAAUAUAUCAUAAAAAUUAAGCUUAAUGACUAGGGUCGUUAGCUCACUGCCAAAUCUCUAACUCUGCAUACAGAUGGUAAGAAAUACGGAGUUCUGCAAUUAACCCUUAUACCUUUCACCAAUUCUUCAGUUUGUAUGUUGCUUGUAUGUAUUUACCAUCAGUUGUCAAUCUUUCAGCAGAAGCAAGGAGCUCAUUCUACAGUACUCAGAGAAAUAACCCUAAGAAGAUAAUAUUAUAAGCUGAUUGCUGUGUUAAUCAUUCUAUGAGUAUGGUGUUCUGAAAAACAGUCAGUCUCUUUUGGUAUCAUCAUAAGGCAUGCAAGUAAAAUAUCUUGCAAUUUAUUUCUCUCUUUCGUCAAUGAUCAUCCAAGAGGAGAGAACAGAGGUGGCAUUUUCUAGCCAUAGUAUUUUCUGUUGUUUUUUUCUUCUGCACUUUGUUUCUGGACGGCAACAUUGGCCUUUGUCGCCACUUUCAACAUAAUUCUGUCAUAGACUGCUUUGAAAUAAGAAGUCACAAAAAGAGCAAGCCGUUAGAUUAUUGCCUAUCGAAGUUUGUUCGCAAUAUCAUUAACACUUGCAUAGCAUUAGUUAAGAUGAUCUUCAGCAUAACUUUUUUGAUUUAUCAUCUAUUUCCAUCAUGUCUUUCUUUUUACCUUCACUUCCUUGGAUUAUCCCAUGAUUUUUUUCCUUUAUUAUUCUAAUAUUGCAUCUCUUUUUGUUGAUGUAUGCCCUUUUCUUUAAGCUUGCAUUCCUUCAAAAUGACUGCCCAAUGGUUCUUUAAAUAUUUUUUUAUUUUUCUCCCUCGUCAGUUUGAUUCUGCCAGUCUGCUCCUAAUUUUAUCUCUUCAGGCCAGUCUAAUUUGCAAAUUUAUAGCAAAACAGUAUGUGGGUGAAGGUUAUGUCUUUCUGUGGGCAUUUUAUUCGUUCUUAUUCACAGACAAGUACAGACAUACUGGACAACAUAGAAAGUAGAAGAAAUCUAAGGUCUCAUGCCAUUAAAAUCAUGCAUCAUUAAUAAAGUUUACUUUAUUCAGUUGGCUGAAAAAUAUGAUAGACGUUGACUUGGGUAUGUGUAAAUUGCCAAAGAAAAUGAUGAUGUUAAUCAGUAACUUUGAAUGAUAAAUUCUGAUAAUAGAAAGUGGUUGGUCGUGGUAACUUAAAUGAAAGGAUUUCAAUGUUACAUAUUGUAUGUGGGAUUUGUUACUCUGUUUCCUACGUAAUGAAUUUUAGGUUCCUGCGCAUUUCACUAGCCAAGAAGUUGUAGAAGAAAUGGCAAUGUUGGCCUACAAUCGUGCAUUGAAGCUGUCUAGACCAGGUUCUUGUUCUUCAAUGGUUUUCUAUAACACUAAAUCAUAACAGUGUUUUUCUACUUCAGUUAUCUGCUUCAUUCAUCCUUUCAUACCUUUCGUUUAUCUGAUAUCAAACGGAGUUGGCUAAAGUUUCAUUCUUUUGGCUUCAAAUGAAUUUCUCCUUGAAGGCAUUGUUGUUUAGAUUUUUUUGAAGUGAUGUUACAAUAUUGAAUAAGUUCUUAAUUCAUUAGUUUCAAUUUCAUCAUGUUGAUAGAAAAAGGGGAUGAGAAGACACCAUAGAUGUGGAGAUGGCCAGUUUUUCGAUGAGAAGACACUUGUACACCUGGUACAAGUGUGCUUAGGAUACAAAAUUAAAGAUAAAAUAGAAAGACAGAAACACCCUCAUGUUCUUGGCAUUUUCUCUCGAUAAAAUUAUGGAUACUUAUCAUGUUGACCUUGCACAAUGUGUGUUGAAGUCACCUUGUGUAAAUCUGUCAAUCUAAAUAACUAAACAUUGGCCAUUUUGUUGAGGCAGAGAUAGGCAGUGGAAGACUAGCACCAAAAAAGGGAGAGUACAGGAGGAGGAAGAGAUAAAAUGAGAGAAUAUAAAUAGUCUUACCAUGGGCUGUAAGGCCCUUGGUACUUAUACAUAAACCCUUAGAGGUAAAAUCAUAAAUGAUAGAAAAUAAAUAGAGAAACAGAAGGGGGAAUAUAUCUGACAACACUCCCCCUCAAGUUGGUGAAUGGAUGUCAUCCAUGCCCAGCUUGCCACAUAGUUCGUAGAAGCAUAAUGAGGAGAGGUCCUUCAUGAAGAUGUAUGCCUGCUGUUGAGUAGAUGGGAUAUAUGGAGUAAAGAAAUCUCCUGUCUUGAGUUUUUCCUUAAUAAAGUGGUGAUCCACUUCGACGUGCUUCAUGUGGUCAUGCUAAACUAGAUCAUGGGUGAUGUUGAUGACUAAUUUUUUGUCUCAUAAUAGUUGAACUAGAUGAAUGUAUGGAAGUCCAAUUUCAGUCAAUAGUUACUUGAUCUAAAUAGCUUCACACAGACCUUGAACCAUUGCUUGGAACUUAGCCUUUGCACUUGACCAAGCAAGAAUUAGUGAGCUUUACUGACUCUACUUUUAUUUUUUUUCACCCUAAAGGAAUGAUUUAUUUGGGUUCAAUGGCUUUGAUAUUCUACUUUAUGGGUAGAAAAGAUACCCGAACAUUUUUUUUCUUUAUCUACAGGAAAUAGUGAUGUAGUUUCCAUUUGCCAUCAUGAGAUCAACCUCAAUAAGGAUCAUCUUUCUGCCAGAAUAUCUAUUUAAGAACUAUUUAAAUAUUUUUUGGCUGUCAUUAUAUUCAUUCUCUUUCAUAAUCUAUGGAAGGUGCAUUAGCUGGUGGUGGAACAACGAUCAAUUUAUGAGCCAGCAUAAUCUGUGUCCGUGUUGACCUCCAGGCAGAGUUGAGCAUCCUGCCAGAAGAGUAUCUUGUGGCCCACCGUACCUUUGAGGUAACAAUGUGUACGAGUGGCAGCAUGGAGGUGAGGUGCUUGAGGAGCAUGCAUGAAUUGACUCAAAAUGUUGAUCGUGUAGGCAAUGUUGGGUCGAGGGUAGGUGAGAUAGAUGAGCUUGCCGACCAACUUCUGAUAAGACCCUUGAUCAAUAGGUUCCGUAUUUGCAACAUCUACCAAGCGAUGAUUAGUUUUGAAUGAAAGUAUCCAGUGGUUGCGAAGCUGAUUUGUCAAGUUCUUGAAGAAGGUCUAGUGUACUUAUACUAGCAGAUAAAGAUACCCACAACACUAUAAGCCACUUCUAGUCCCAAAAAAUACUACAGUAAGCCCAGAUGUUAGAUCUCAAAUACCAAGGCCAAUCAGUGAGCAAGAGAUUGAGCCUCAAUAGUGUCGCUCUUGGUGAUGAUGAUAUUGUCAACAUAUAUUAAGAGGAGAGUGACUCCCCCUAACAAGGAAUGGUGAUAGAACAUAGUAUGAUCAUCAUUACUUCGUUGAUAACCAAAAGACAUUAUCAAGAUGGUGAAGUGACCAAACUAGGAGGGAGGUGACUAUUGAGGCAGUAGAGCACCUUGUUGAGCUGACAAACAACUAGAGUUGACAAGGAGAUCCAGUAUCCAGGAGGAAGUGUCAUAUAUAUAUCCUCUUGAAGGUCCCCUUACAAGAAGACAUUCUUGAUGUCGAAUUGCUGCAGGGCCCAGUCAAAGUGAUGAGCCAAAGUAAGGAAAAUACAGAUUGUGUUCAUCUUGGCUACUAGGGCAGAUGUCUCCUGAUAAUCAAUACCAUAUUAUUGAGUAUAACUAUUGGCAACCAAAUGAGCUUUGUAAUACUCCACGAAGCCAUCAGAUUGAUACUUCAUGGUAUACACUCAUUUGUAGCCAACAACAUGUUGUCUCAUAGGAAGAACAUGUUAGCAUCAGGUUUAAUUUUUCUCCAAAGCCAGGAGCUCCUUCGCCAUAGCUUGAUGCCACUCAAGAGUGUUUGGAGCUUCAUUCAUGGUGCGAGAGAUAGAAACAGUGUCAAGGGGCAUGAGGAAGGCAUGAUAGGAGGGAGAAAGGCGAUGGUAGGAGAGGUAAUGUGCCAAGGGUUCAAGAAUUUGAGGAGGCUGGGGGGGAGUAGGGUGAGAAAUUGGGACAGAAGAGAUGGGUGGACUCAAGUCAGAAGUGGUGGUGGACUCAGGCCAAAGACUGUAGGUAGAUGAGGGGCACAUUGGAUGUAGACUUGGCGACCAAAUUGAUGCAGUGGUUAGGGGUGGACAGAAGGUUCAGAGGCUGGGAGGGUUUCAGAGGGAGCAGAAGGUUUAGAUGUUUUGUUGUAUCAUGUUUUUCUGUAUUUUUUGAUAUUUUUGCGUACCUUGAAAUUGCAAUAUAACUUCAUGUACAACUUCAUUCAGACAUCUUGGAUAAAAUCUUAACCCAUAGGUACCUAUCAAUUUUAUGAGCUAUUGCAUAAUAUUUUGUUUUUGCACUUGAUGAGACUCACAAAAUUUGCAUCCCUUCUCAAAGAGUAUAUCUCCUAUGAUCUUGAGUACCACAAUCCAUUACUUAGAACUAACUGAUUUAGUAUAUCCUAACAUUCUUCCUAUACCUUACCCAACAAGACCUUUUAUACGAUUUAGAAGUAGUCAAUCCCUUUUCUUUGCAAGAAUAUGAAUGAAGUUUAUUUUGUGACCCCAGUGUAGAAUCCUAAUUCACCCUCCUUUUGAUUCCUAUAAUGACUUGGGACCAACAUUAGGUAGAUGAUCAUCAAGCUGAAUGGCUCCUUUCUCAGUGAUAAUAUCUUUUUUUCUUUUCAUAGUAAUCGCCUUUUUGAACUUCAGUUGAAGGAAUAUGUAGAAAACAACGCAGAGGUACUUAUCAUAUGGUUUGCAGCUUUAAAGUUGAUAACCAAAAGUAAUGAUAAGAUGCAUAGUAGCAUUGAGGGCAGAUUUGUUUAAGAGUAGUUUGAAGUAAAGGUUUGGUGGCGCCCUUAUAAAAUUUUAUUCAAGUUUGAGUCAAUCUUCUGUUUGAAGCUUGGUCAGGAUGUUAAUGAAUGAAAUAAGUUAAGUAUUCAUUGGCCGAUGCAUACAGAAAAUAACUUAUGGUGUAUGCAAAAUUUGAGGUAGAACUUGAUUUUUGAUCCCUGACAUUAAAGUAUCAGCACUUGUGUAAAGUGUCAACUGAUGAAAACUAAGUGUGAACAUUUGAGGCAAAAUAGAAACUGGAAAAAAGCAGGGAGAAGCGACCCCUAUACCUUAGGUGUUGACACUUGGAUAUGUGUAUGAUAUAAAGCUCAAAAUUGUCAGCAUGUAUAUAAAGAAGAAAAAUAAGUUUCGAAGGUGAACCCAUCAUGAGGGGGGAUCGUCACACAAUUAUAGCUUGUUGACUAACAGAUUGACUGCUAGCUUUUCCGAGUUGAAUUUCCAAUUUUUACAUCACCAUGCUUUGGCUUGAUUUAGUUUACCUAUCCCUAGUUUAUUACAAUAAUGACCGUAAACUUAGGAAAUAUAUGCUAAAUCUUUAAAAGAAGGGCUCUUGGGUUAUUGUUUACAACACUAUUAUGUUUUUGAAGUUCAUGGGCUUCCUAAUGAUUGUCAACUUUAUGCAACUUUAUGUUCUCUUUUCCUUGGCUUUAUUUUUUUCCUUUCUUUCUAAUGUUUGCAAUACGUUCCUUUUUUGGUUAAAGCACCUUUUUUCUGACCGUGUGUUGCCAUAUAUCAUGUAUUUCAGUUCUGAGCUGAUGAACAAGGGAUACCUUGUUUUCCCAGAAAAUCUCUUUUUGAAGCUUCCACGCCUCACAUCUGUCUUCAUAGAAUCAUGCUAACAGAGAUAAUUAACUCGGAUGUCAUAAUGCUGUUUUUGGGAAGCCACUCGUCAUCUUUCAAUUCUUCUUACUUUGGAUAUACAUCUUCCUAUUUAUGUAUCCUUAUUUACCAUAUAUAUUGCUGAAAUGAUAGUCUGCCAUAACCCAGUGCCAACAGACGACAUGCUAUUAAUAACACUGGAGUUUCUAGAUUAUCAAGGUUCCCAUCACACCAUUUAACGUGAAACUCUGUCCUCAAGAACAGUCAGCGCUUGUUGAUGAAAGAAGAGGGUGAUACAACCUGUGGCAGGCCAUUGGAAAACCUUUAGCCUAAUCGGCCUAGAAGACAGGGCAAAUAGGACCAGCCUUGACCCCUUCGCCCUGAGUGAGUAAGUUGCUAAAUUGUGGGCAGUACACAAUUAGCAGUGGAAAGAAAUAAGAUAAAGUUGUCCCCUUGGAUGGAAACUCUGGCAGUCAAAAACUAAAAAAGAGAGAGGAAGGCAUGAUGGCCCUCUUGAUCUUGAUGCUACAAUGUGUCUCAAACUCCCUCCUUGAUAUGUUUUUGUUACACUUCUUCCUUAAUCCAUCAAGGCAAAUCUUCUGAUUCCAUUUUCAUUGAAAAGGAAAAGAUGAAGACUCUAAAUGAGAGGUAACGAGCGAAAAAAUAGCAUGCCUCUUGCUUAUAUGUUGGGUCGCAUCUAGCUUCUAUUACUAGUUUUAAUUCCUAUACUGUGGCGGCUUAUAACUUGCACCUCAUUCCGUAUCCCACGAUCACCUAGUAUGUCAAAAGCCUAGGAACUUCUUAAAAUUUCUUGAAACACGGACCCAAUCUUUUUAUCAAUAGGGUAAUCCUUUAACAGAUGGUAUACACUUACACUGUCUUACAAUGGGCAUUAUGGGUAAAACCUAAUAAGUAAUUAAAGGAAAAGAAAAAGACAAAUGCCUAGUUAUGAAUAGUAUUGCACAAUUUCAUGCAGGUAUAAAAUUUUUAUUUCUUAAUAAAAUUAAAAAUUUUAAACAUUAAAGGUUAAGCAUGAUAAGUGUAGUGCCAUGAUGAUGCUAAUAAUUUUGAGUCUUCACAAGAGUUGCAUUUUUUAAUUGAUAUCUUUUAUAAUGGCAAUUCCAUGAAUAGAAACUAUUAAAUAAAAUCUGCAUGAGAUUAAAUUUUUAUCACCCCCCCUUAUUUCGGUUUCAAGGAUAUACUUUUGGUGACGGCCUAACCAUUAACGUGGAAUAUAUAAUGUUGUAUAGCAGUCAGAUUCAAAUUAUAAGUGCAGCUUUAUGGAUGAAUAUUUGUUAACUUAAUACUCAAAGUUCACAUCCUUACUUUAGAUUUAUCCACCUUUUCCCAGGUUUCGCAACUGUGCGUCAUGGAUGUUACUGGAAACAGGAUUCCUCUAAAUUCUUAAGAUGGCACUGGUAUCAAAACGGAUCAAUACAUUUAGCUACAAUCGAAUCAUAACAAGCAUAAUGGAAAAUUCGAAACUGAGGGCAGGAAUUGUGGCCGACUCAAAAUUGAAAUUAAAAACGAAGCUGAACUGAAAGCAAUGGAAAAAUAAGUCUAGCAUAUGACUGACAGUAUUUGCAUGGUUACCAGGAAUUAAGAUGACACUGCUUGUAGCGGAAAAAAAUAUAACUCAUUUGAAGUAGUGUUCAUUUGCCUCAGGAAUCUGAUGGUGGUAAUAAUUUACAUUGUUGUAUUGUGGUGUAUUUCAUAUUUGUGUUUGUAUUUAUAAAACCAUUGAUUUUAUAAAGAUUUCCAUGUAGGUUUUGUGUGUGGAUUGUAUUCUUGGUUGCUGAUCCAUUGUAAAGAUUAUUGUAUGUUUUUCUUUGGAUUUUUGUUUUGCAUGAGUUCCCUAGAUGCGAAUUCUUGUAUUAAUGACUCACAAAGAGAUUUAGUGGGUUUGAUGUCCUUGGACAAAAUUUGAGGUAGCAUUUCCUAGUUUCUUUCUGUUGAUUCUGGCUUAUACUUGCCUUUUAUGUUUAUUAACUGUUAUGCUGUGAAUUAUAAAGUUUUAAAUAUUGUAUUUCAACUCAUGUCAUAGUUAAACAACUCCUUGGCAGGUUGUCCAGUUGUGGGUGUGGGCUUUUCCGGCUCUUUAGCUAGUGUAGGUCCAAAACGUGGAGGGCACAGGUAUUGAUUUUCUGUCUGUUUAUUCGUUAGCAUAAUAGAGAAACUCCAGAUCAACUUGCUUGCACGUAAUAGUUCCGUUUGUGCACACUUCUUCACAUUCAGUUUCAAAUAACAUAUUUUACGAACUAAUUUUAAGAAUUCAUCUAGAAACAUCACGAACAUCAUGAACUAUUAUAUGCUAGUUCUACAUUUCUUUUGGUGAUUGAUUACCAAACUCUUUUUUCAAUGAUGAGCUUAUAAAGCUUGUGUAUCGAUGUCAUUAUGUUGUCAUUUUAAUAAGCAGUGAUCUUACUGCCCAUUUGGGGUAGAUAAGUAACUUGCAUCUACGAACUGUUCGUAUUGGAAGUGGAAAAUUGCGAAAACUAAUGUGUACAUGAAGGUGGUUUCAAAACUUUCUAAAGUGCCAAUUGGAGAAAAAUGUUUUUCGAUUUACGGUGGAAAGGCAUUGACUUUACGCCUUGAGUAUGCCUGAUAUGAAUUUUAUAUUUAUUUCCUAGAUGCUUUUCGCUGAUUGUCACUUAACAUUACAAGGUUUAUUUUAUGAAAUAUGCCAACAUUUUUCAUAUGCGGUCAGGAUGAGCGGGAGCUUGUUCCCUGAAUUUGUGUCUAUUUAUCGUUAAGUAGCUCUACUGCAAUCGGCCAAAAGCUGCCAACCUUCUACAUUUUGUGCAUCUUACUUCUAGAAAAAUUUUGGAGACCUGUGUAGCUAAGUGAUUUGUUCUUGUUUGGAAUGUCUACUCUUUGUCAGGGAUGGCAGGGACAGAAAUGGAUUUGUGGACUUUUCCAUACAUCAUAGUAAUAUCUAUCGAAAAAUAGUGAGAUUUUCUAUGGAUAUGUGAUGUUUUAUUGGACUAUAAAGGUCCUUGACGGAUGAAAUGAGGAUUCAUCACAGUCAACUUCUAUCGUUCUAAAUUACUCAAUUUGGUAGAAUGUGCCCUUGUGAUUACUUUAAUGGUGAUGUCCAUUUGAUGCUGUGCUCCCAAUCCUAUUCUUUAUUUUAGGACCUGAAUUCUCUUUUCUGCUUCAUCAUAGAGUAGAUUUCCGAAUUCAUGCUUAUAUCUUUGUUUUCGGAUUAUUUUCUAGUUUUUUCGAUUCAAUCUCGUCUACGUAAUUACAUUACAUGGAAUAUUUAGUGUUUUAGUAUCUGCUGCUUAAAAAAUAGGAUUACAUGAAUUUACUUUCCACUUCAUUGUCAGGACCAGAAAACAUCCGGUCAAACACGACCGUCUACUUUUCUUUUAUCCAUGAAUUCGAGUUAUUACAUUCUGUUUGCAGGUUUUUCUUAUCAACAAGGACAUCCGGUCGUCUGUGGGCAUCAAAUGUUACCUUAUGUAAGGUACUUAAUUCGUCAUCCAAACUGUCUUUCACUUUCUUUUCCUGGAAACCUUGCAAAGUUUCUGAUAUUGAUUAAUUCAUAUAGGGUCUGCGAAGUCGCGAAGAAGAAGACACGAUUUCUAGCAAAUUUUUACUGAAGGUACAAGUUACUCAAACGUACCUAUUAUUUUUUGGUAUUUAAAAAUAUUUAUUUAAAUAAAUUUCCUACCUGCCUAUUUUUUGAUCUUUGCAAGAAUUUGUAAUACCACAAGUGUUCUAAAAUUUACUCAUUUUUUGCAUUAUCACUUUUCUGACUUUUCGUGAUUUUGGAUUUGGAAAAUAAGCUUGUAAGCCAACGGGUGGUUUAUUGUUUAUAUCAUCUAAAGAGGGUAUUUUAGUUUUAUUAUCAAAUUGGUCUGGUUGUGACUUUUACCAUUUAAUUAUUUAGUUCUGAUGGCUCUAAUUUUUACCCAGAAUAGAUAAAGUUCCUGAGCUGGUGCAUACAACUGUAGUUCCUCUUCAAGUUUCUCUUGCUUGUUCAAUGCUUCAUUCACAGCUAUCAACUUCGCUAUUCCUGGAGAGAGAAGUGGGGAUGGUUUGGGUGAUUUUGUAGCUGAAUCCCAACCCAACAUUAUUACGCCGAAAAGUCCGACCUUUAACAAAAAUAAGAAUUGAAGGUAGACUUGAACCAGAAAAUUAAUGUGUCCGAACUCAACCCAUGCUACAGGCAUAUGCAGCAUUUCUUGCACUACAUUCUCAAUCCCUAUAGAAUUCUUUAGAUUUAUCUUAUUAUUACAAUUAGGUAGUCAUAUUUGCCAAACAAAGAUAAAGCAUUCCAAUUUGAGGGAAGAGAUUUUGUACACAGAAUACUGACACUCUAUGCUUCUACUUCCUACUCACUCUUGUCCUUCCAGUCUGAGGUGAUUCUACUGUGUGUUUGUCAAUUUUUCUUCUCUUUGAAGGUCCGUGCCAUGGUUUAAAAGUUAACCACUUUUCAAUCGACAGUUCAACUGAUGGCUUUAGUUAGUGUUGAUUUCUCUGGGAAGCCUCUGGAGGCACGAUAAUGAACACUAUGGAACAUUUUCAUAUUCGUUUACAAAACAUUUCAUGUUCAAAUCAUACAUUGUAAAGUUUUAAGUCAUGCCCAAAGUUGCAUCUUUAACAUGAUAUUUUAGAUAUUCGUUCUCUUUUCUUGUUUUCAAAAAAUUGGAUAUGCUUUUUUUUUCCUUUUGAUUAUUUCAUAGCAUUUCAAAUGGUUUCUCUCCUCUUGUUUAACAUAAUAUUGGUUUGAACUUUCUUCCUCGUGUUCUUAUCAUAAUACUUCUUUUUGUGCCUAUUAUGUCUAAGGCUAUUGCAGAUGCAUGCCAAGUUUGUGGUACUUCUGACAAGGAACUAACUGAAACGGAAGAUUCACAUGAAUUGGAAAAGCUGUUUGACGAGGAUCAAGAGUUACAGCAGCUUAUAAAUGGGGAAAUAUGCAUGAAAGCAUAUUCAUUUGGUAAUUAUUCAAAGAUUCCAAUGAGUUAUGUCUACAUGAGAAUAGUUAAGUUUUCCGUUUUGGAGAUAGAUCUUCUUAUUCAGCCGCAUGAACUUGCAGAUACUUGUACGUACAGUUCAGAUCAAAAGAUUAUACUUUCAGGAUCAUUUAAUCCAUUACAUGAUGGACACCUAAAGCUUUUGGAAGUGGCAUCAAGGUUAACAAUUAAUUUUAUGCUUCCGCAGAUAGAUGCAUGCAAGUUAAUUGGAGAUCCUUAGUAUUUGUCUCGAUCAUUUCAGUUGUAAAGAAAAAAGCUGGAUCUUUUUCAGGAUUUUCUUCAAAGACAAAAUUCAUCUGCCAUAUGGAUGAGACUCUAUCUUGAUGAUGACCAAUUAUUAUUGUGACAUCAAAAAAUUUAGCUACAUAUAGACACCUGUUUAUGAUUCUAUCAUGAAGUCAUCUCUUCUUACCUAAUUAACAAUGUGAGAACAUGCAUGAUUAUGAAAUAAUAAACUUGUUAUAUCUCUUUUAUAUCAGCUUUUUAACAUUCUAACUAUUUUUUAUUUUCUGUAGUAUGCUUUGCAAUAGGGUUCCGUGCUUUGAGAUAUCAGUUGUAAAUGCGGAUAAACCACCAUUAUCAAUAGUUCAGAUCAAAGAGCGAGUGAAUCAAUUUAAGAAAGCUGGUGUGUUCUUUUCUUUCGCUACUUGUUUAGUGCAACAUAUUUAGUUUUAAUUUGAAUGAUUGAUAAUGAUUAAUAUUUUAUAGGAUUUUUUACAUUCUGUGUAUUUUGUUUAGAUUUACGUCUAGUAUUCUCACUUCUAUUUAAAAGACCAGAUCCAAUGUGAGAUACAUUCUUCAUAAGAAAUGUUGGCCCAGGCAUGAUCAUUGGCACUAAAACUAAUAUAAUGAAACGAAAAACAUAAAUCGAUAUGAUAAUUUAAAAAUACUAAAUAUUAAAUAUUAUGGAAAAAUUAAGACUGUGUAACAGAAACCAAUAAAGGUUUAAAAUUCAGGUCAAUGAUUGUUCUCUUAUAACUCAUAACCAUGAAAUGUAAGAGCAGGCGAUCGUCAAAAAAGUAUCGGUAACGCAUGAGCAGACAACCUUGCUUAAAUACCAUGUAGAAACGUCAGCUGUCAGAUUACAAACUUCACCAUUUAUGAAUUAAAUAGUAAAUAAUAGGGAAUAAUUAAUACUGUGUUGCCAUAAACCAUCAAAGUUUAAAAUCCAGGUCAAUGAUUGUUCUUUUAUAACUCAUAACCCCGAAAAUGUAAAAGAAGACAAUUGAUGAAAGUAGUAUCAGUAAAGCGUUGGCAAACUAUCUUGAUUAAUAACAUGUACAAAAGUCAGCUGUCAGGUUACAAACUUCAUUAUUCAUGAACUAUUUCUGUUUUCGCAUAGUACAUUCUUUAAGAUGCUCAAUGAUUGGAUUACUGACUUCCCAUGUUUCGCAUUGAUAAUAUUAUAUAAAUUGCAUGCCAAGUUUUAGAUUACUCAUUUUAUCACAUCUACAUUUCUAUUUUUUUCACAAAUAUGUUCAAGGCAUUGCCUAAAUGAUGCAUUGCCCCAGGCUUCUAGGUUCACCAGUUGAGAACCUGCUUGGGUGCUCGCCAAAGUUGCCUUACCUCUGUUCUCCAACUCAUAUUGUUGUCAUCGUAGCUGCAAAAAACUAUUUGCUCUGUUCCAUGGCACAUGCUGUUUAACUGCAGUUGAAUGGACGCCAUGUAAGCACAAUCUAGUGGUGAUUUAAACCGUUAAGAUGAUAUUUAUUGCAUAUAUUAAUAUUUUAUAAAAAAUUAUUUAUUAAAUGGAGUUAAUUGUUUUAAAAAAUCGUGUUUACUUAUUGUUCUGAUUUAUAUUAGUUACUUUAAUAUUUAGAUAUUCCACGCGUAAAAUGUUGCUUUAUUUUAAGAAAACGGAAUCUAUUCAUAUAGCUUAAAGGAACAAUGACUGUCACUCAUUCAAAUUAUUUAUUUUAGAUUUUUGUAUGGUAUCAAUGCUCUUUGACACCCAAAGAUAUUCUUUUAUAGCCAAAGAGAAAAUACCUAGUUCACUGACUGUUAUUGAUUGUUUCUUCUACAGUUUAACAAUAAAUUAGAGGUUCUUGCCUUCUUGGGUUCAUAAGUUUACUGUCUGGAGAAUUCAACAGUUUGAUUUGUAUAUGUGUAAACUAUGCGAUAAUUAAGUAAUUUUCGUAGUACCAUGGUGAUUCGUUUCUCUACGCAGGGAAGACAGUGAUUCUAACAAAUCAGCCGUAUUUCUACAAAAAGGCUGAGUUGUUUCCUGGUAGUGCAUUUGUUAUUGGUGCAGACACUGCCGCACGGCUUGUUCAUGUAAGAAAUCUGAACUUGCUGUGUGUGUUGUUCAGACAAUACCACUAGAGGCAUGUAUGCUCGUUUUUGUCUAUACUUCAUGGGAUUGAUAAUUAUCAUUUUGCUAUAUAUAUAAUGAUUUUCAACCCUUCAUGUUUUUCUUUCUUUGUUAGACCCAUUAUAUAUAAAAUUGUUUUGCACUAUAUGAUGAGAUGGAUUGCUUUAAAAAUAUACUACUAUGCUCGUGAGUAUGGGUAGAAAUAACAGUACGAUGUUAGCUAUUGUCAUACAUUUACUCUUGUUGUUGAUAUGAAAAUGGUUAAAACCCUUUUUGCACUUGUUGUCUCUAAAUUAUAGCCCAGAUUUCAAAUGGGUACAAAAAAUACCUUUUUAAUGGUGACGUGAACGAGGAAGUGUUCAUGACGUGGCAAUUGGGAAUAACAUGGGACUCAUCACACUUUAUUUCAAGCAUGAUUGGUAUGCUCGGACAGAGUCAUUGAUUUGAGGACUACCGUUCUACAUUCAUAAUUUUAAUGCAGCCAACAUGAUCCGUCUCUCUUUUGAGAAUGGUCGUCUAGUGGUCUUGCUCUUCUUAUUACAUAAGUUAAUGGUACGUUGAUUGCUGUGGAUGAUUCCACGAAACGGGGCAUGUUAAAAAAAUUUUCAAUAGUCAUUUGGGAUAAAAGAUGUGGGCUAUUCAUUCACUUCUUGGGUGAAGCGCAUAGAUCUCCAGUUCUAUUCUUUUUGAAUCACCGCAUUCUUGCAAAAUUUGAUUUAUGUCGCUUGAUCAGAGAACAUCACUGAACUUAAUUCACGUAUGGAAACUAAUCUUUGGUUGAAAACUUAAGAUCACUUUCUAACUUUUGUAACCUUUCUUAUCUUUUAAUUUUACCGGACCUGGUAUUUCCUAUACCAUAAAUAGAACUUUUAAUUCUUUGUCAUUUACACUUUACUGGUAUUCGUAAGAUUGCUGACUACCUGAAAGGCACUCCUAAUCAUGGAUUGCUCUUCCCAAGUGGGUCUCUUCAAUCCUUGAGUCUAUAGGCUGUUGCAGAUUUGUGUUGCUAUCCUAAUCUGAGAUGGUUUUCAUUGAUUGGUGUGGCUGAUAUGACAUUAUCUGAUUUCAUGGAAGUUCAAGAAACAAGAUUGGGUUACCAAGCUGUUAAUUGAAAUUGAAUGUAGAGCCGUGUACGAAACACGCUUUGAGGUCAUCUGAUUGUGUGGUUUACUUCUAAAAUUAGGUUUCCUUCUUAAUUGUGCUGACUUCUUUACAUGCUAACAACACAAGUGCUAUUCAGAUUGCUGAAAAUACUUGUUUCACAAGUGCACAAAGCACGUUGAAAUCAAUUAGUAUUACAUUUCGUGGCACUUUGAAAGACUCAUCUCUACUAUAUUUACCUUAUAAGGAGCAGAUUGUGUCUCUCUUCACAGAGGCUUCGAUAUCUGAUCUGCAUCAACCUCUUUCCACCGAAACAGAUGUCUUCUCGAAGCCUUUGAUAUUUGAUCAGCAUCAAUCACUCUCCUCCGAAUUCCUUCUAAAAGAGUCAGCAUCAGUUUUAGGGAGAGUUGGAAUGCGCUCCAUGUAAUAUGGGAUAGAAGGAGAUUUAAUGCUGUUAAUAAUGAGCAACUGGUUGGUUUCUGUUUUUAACCUUUACCCUAUUUAGGGAGAGUUGUGUCCACCUGUAUUCUAUUAUUGCUUGCUUCUGUAAAAUAUUAGUUCACUCUUUUGUUUAUACAAAGUCCAUAAAGAGGCUCUGAGAUCUCAUAUUGGGGCAGGACGCUAUGAUCCAUUGAUCUUAUCAUGUUUCUCUUUGUCCACUGUCAUCUUCUCACCAUUGGCACCGACUCUUUCCUCACAUUGCUAGCUGUAGUCCUGUUCAGAGCUAAGAUGGUAAUUACAAGGUCACCACAUCAGCUCAUCUUCCAUUAAGUUUGUACCUGCUUUUGAAUGUGGCAUAUUAUCCUGUUUACAUAAUAUAGAGCUGUUCUGGCUCUAUUUAGUCUCUUCAGUUAUUGAGUGAAUGCUGAGAGAAGCUGGAGCUGAGUGUCUGCUUUUCUAUUUACCGUGCAAGUCCCGUCACCGAAAUUGGGUUGACCAGAAUAUCGUUGCCUCUUUUCCUCUUCUGGUGGACUCAUCCCUCCUGUCUCAACGUUCUUCUUUUUCCAUUCAUUACAUGUGCCCUUGUGUGGUGCUGUGGGUGAGCAGAAAGCCUGACCAUAACCCAAUCCUGAGAUUGGGCUCUGCAAUCUGGCUUUCUGAUGCCAUGGGCAUUGUUUCUAUCUAUCUUUGGUCCCAAUACCACACCUUGGUUGAGAGGAGACUCAAUUUGUAGCUAGAAUACAUAUUCUCGGAGAAAUUAGACCAUUCCCUGAUGGUAGAGGUCAUGGAUGAUGCCUUGGUCAGCAGAGGAGAAGACAACAGAAAACAGAGACAGGCAUAGGUGGACAUCAAUCCACCGUGUAGGGAUAUUUUUGCCUCCCAAAUCCUGCCAUGCCCUCUUUAAUGUAACCAGUCAGGCACCUAGCUUAAUCACUACUAGGUUCUAUUUUCAGUUUUUUCUGGUUAUUUUAACUGCUCGAUUUAUUCUUUUUUUGCAUCAGUUAUGAAUGUGGAUACUACGUAAUUCGCUGCUUAUUCCUCUAACUAGAUGAGGUUGAGGGUUGUAGCAUGAAAUAAUUUUCUGUAGAUCUAUCAGUCCUUAUGUAAAUUUCUGUCCCUAUUCUCAUUCUUUGUGGAAAGCUCUCUCUUUUAGAUUCUGGGGUGAAAUCUUUUAUGAACUCAUACCUGUCUUUUUCAGCCAAAAUAUUAUGGAGAAAGCUAUCACCAGAUGAUUGAAAUCCUGAAUGGCUGCAAAAGAUUAUCUUGUACAUUCCUCGUUGGUGGUCGGAAAAUUGAUGGCGAUUUUAAGGUGUGUCAUAAUGAAGUGACCUCAAAUAUUGUCAUUUGACAUCACAGAAAAGACCUUAACAAAAUGUUUAUUUAUCAGGUUCUUGACGAUUUAACUAUUCCAGACGAACUGGUGGACAUGUUCAUCUCGAUUCCCGAGGACAGGUUCCGAUUGGAUAUAUCAUCGACAGAGAUAAGAAAAAACCAUGGAAUUUGAGUCCAUUCCUACUUCUAGCUUUGGAAUGUGCCCUUUUGAUGCGUUAUUGUAUGCAUCAUUUUAUCCUUGUUUCUCCAAUAUUUCUGCUUUCAUCUGUUGAAUGGAGUAUCCCCCGCUAGGCCUUGGUACACUUUCAUUAGCUUCACUUGAAAAUCACUAGUUGUCUUAUGGGAAGUUACACCUGUGUGACCUAAGUGCGUCACCACCUGCAGCCAUUGAACGAAGUUUAGUACACCAUAUUUUGCAUUACUUACCUUACUGUGCGAUCUUAUCUUGUGAAAAAUUCCAUCUAUUUGACAUGUACAUAUAUCAUACCAGUAAUAUUGAAAUCUUAUGAGGAAAAUAGUUAACUGUGUUCUGUAAAUAGGGAUCACCUACAGGUUUUCAUUUAUUCUUCCCAGCAAGUUAAAAUACCAUAACAUAUUGUACUGAGGAUUCCAUCUUUGAUUGACUACAUCACAGGUACUGUGUUUAUACGUCCAAAUAGUAGAUUCAUCAAUAUAUAAGUUUGUCCUAUUUUCCUAUUUGGUUUAUUCUUGAUUCCUAACUUGGCAGUUUAACGCAAAUAUGGAAUCCUAGUUAAUUUCACCACACUUUCUCUCUUUUAGUAGUGUGGUAUGGCACUUCACUAUAAGCCUACUUACAAUAUCUUUUUUGCACCUUUCAAUCUUCACUGGGUUAAUUAGUCUCUACGAAGAAGUUUUCUGGCACCAUUAAUUUCCUGUAAUCUGCUCAAUUUUUGUUUGAGUAGAGUUUACAUGUUAUAAUAGCCUUCUUUAGUUCAUACUCUAGAACUCUUUGUCGUAUUGUGGGCAAUCUUCAUUAUCCUCAAGUGUGAUAAUGAAUGGGCUAUUACAUCUAGUGCCCAAUAACUCAAGUUCAUCCAUCUUUCUCAUUGCCUACCAGUGUACAACCAUGCUCUCGUGAAUCUUACGGUACUUGGAACUAGGGAAUCUUCAGAAACAUCCUACUGUUGUUGUGUGCCUUCUCAAGAAGACUCUCUUUAGAGCUGCACGGUAAGCUAUCAGUUAAAUAAUAUAGUGGGAACUUAUUCCAUGCUUCUUCUUUAUGGUUGCCUCAUCCUCAAUGGUGCCUUCUUGUAGCUUCAUCCUCCGAUAUGGUCUCCUUGCAAUGGACCACACUAUAUCUAUGAUUUGGGUUUUCAAUUGGUCCAUCAUGAAAUUUUAUCAUGGAAAGGACUUUGAAAUGUAAAUCUUGUUAAUGAGCCAUGCUAAUAUGUGAGAAAGUAAAGCUACACCCAGUGAAAAACCAAUACUAAUACCAGAUGAAGACUUAAAAGUUGUUCAAUCACCGUAAAAUUACAUUGAGAAAAUUCUAUUAUGUUUCAGCCCAAUAUAAGCAAUGUGAGGCAAACUGAUUAGUACCUCAAAAUUUGAGGCUCGUGGCCUGAAGGGAUAAAAAUAUUGACUACAAACAUCUGAAGGCCCAACAUGACUUGAAGCCUAAUAUCCAAGCCAAUGGCCCAAAAUUAUGUAAAUAUUUUUGCCUAAAACUUGCAACCUAGGUGGCUUGAAAGAGUAAAAAAGUGGACUACAAGCAUCUAAAGACUCAAAAUGACUUUCAGUCCAAUAUCUAAAUAGUUAGGUCCGAAAUGUGUAAGAAAUUAUAGAAUUGUAAUUGUUCUAUUUUUCAGUAGCUUUGAUAUGAAGGUUUAAAAUUCAUCUAAUUUAUUGUGAUUGUUAUCAAGUCAAGAGGUGAUAAAUAGUAAUAUUGUCUUUCUCUUUGAGAUAUUUCUAUUUUCUUGUGCAAUCAAGCAAUCCAUAUUUAAAUAAGAAACAUUAGGUUGAUUCUUAUGGAUUCAAGAAUUGUGAAAAAUAAAUCCUCAUUGAUUGAGAAAUUUGGUACCUCAAGGAUUCAAGGCCUGAUUUCUUUACUUCUUCAACUUUCUCUAUGCCAAUUAGUUGUCUUUUAGAGAUGAUAAUUUGAAUUUCAAUAAAUAUAUUUUGAAAUUUAUUCAAAUGAAUUGAAAUUUAUCUAAUCUUUAAAUAGAGUUAAAACAUAGCUUAGAUAUCAAGUUCAAUCUUGCAUUUAAGGGGGAGGUAUUUAAAUUUUUAAUUGGAUAAAAGGUUUUAUUUUUUUCAUAUUUCUUGUAGCCCUAACUUAUUUUUAAAGUUGACAUGAGUGUAAAUUUUAUUUGUGUAUCCUUUAAAUUUUAUUUAUAUUUUAGUUUUUGGUAAUAAGGCAUUGACAUUUUGAACUGAAUUUGUUCAUGAUGUGUGAAAGGUUGAUUCUUUAUAUUCUAGGUUUUCUUUGGAAACUAAGUUGUUAGCCAUUCUUUUUAGUCAAUCACUAAUAUUAUAUAUAUGAAGUUUGUCAACAUUAAGAGAAAGUAAUGUAGUUAAGAGUUUUUAUAAAAUGUAUGGAUCAUUUCAAGCAAACAUCAAUACAAAUAAAGUAAGCAUGUCUUCAUAAAAUUUCAGGGCAGUAUUAAACAUUUUUUAUUGUAGAAAAUUAUCUUAAACCCUAGAGAGAUGAAUCAGAACAUUCUAAUAAAACCAUCCAUAGUAUGUUCAUGUGUACUUGUUUUUCAAAUUUUUUUACUUAUAAUUAGGCAUCUUGAAGUUUGGUAUGUACCUGUAGCUUUUUACAUCAUAUCUAAAAGUUGGUAGAGAGGAGAAUGAAUUUCAAAAAUAGCAAAGAACAAGAAAAUUUUCUACUAUGUUGUGGAGAAAAUCAAGAGAAUCCUAAUUAUAGAUAAAAUAUUGUGAAAAAAAUCAAAAUGAAAUCAAGAAAAAUAACAAUGUCUAUGAGAGAAGUUACAAAUGAUGAUGGGAAAUCUAUUACAUAAUUCUUCUCUCUUCUCCAAUAAGAUUCUUAACAUUGAAAAAGGAUCUUAGAGUGUGCCAGGAAGGCUUCUUAACGUCUUCUUUUUUCUUCCCAUCGGAGUUUUUUCACAAAGACUCGCCAUAGUAAGGGGGAAGGGUGGAACAAGCAAAGCACACUUGUAGAGCGCAGUACAGCGGAGAUGUCCAAUACUAUUUGGUAGCCUUUUCUAUUAUUUAAUUUAGUAUAAUGUCUACUAUUUCUUCUCUUCCUUUGUCAACCACUUAUUUACUAAGGGGUUGUGCCAAGUGUUAAUCCUAUCUAAAUAGCACAUCAUGGG
rnacentral:lncRNA from 1 species